AUCUAGAGAGGCUACUGACAAUUUCACAAGGAUAGAAUACUUGGGCAAGGUGGACAGGGUACUGUUUACAAAGGAAUGUUAACAAAUGGCAAAAUAGUUGCUAUUAAGAAACCGAAAGCAAUAGAUGAGGGCAAAGUCAAACAAUUUAUAAAUGAAGUUGUCAUUCUCUCACAGAUCAACCAUAGAAAUAUCGUUAAGUUAUUGGGGUGUUGCUUGGAGACAAAAGUCCCACUUUUAGUAUACGAGUUUAUACCAAAUGGGACUCUAUACCAAUAUUUGCACAACUCAAAUGAGGAGUUUCAUGUAUCAUGGGACACACGCCUACGAAUUGCAGCUGAAAUUGCAGGAGCAUUAUUCUACUUGCACUCGGCGGCCUCGAUUCCCAUUUAUCAUCGAGACAUCAAGUCCACCAAUAUCCUCCUGGAUGAGAAAUAUCGAGCAAAAGUGGCAGAUUUUGGUACUUCCAAGUCUAUUUCCCUCGAUCAAACUCAUGCAACCACGUUGGUGCAAGGGACUAUUGGCUACCUAGAUCCCGAGUAUUUCCAAACAGGUCAAUUUACAGACAAAAGCGAUGUGUAUAGUUUUGGAGUUGUUCUCGUUGAACUAUUAACGGGACAAAAGCCAAUCUCAUUGCUGAGGGAACAAGAAGGCAGAAGCCUUGCGACCUAUUUCAUAAUUUCAAUGGAAGAAAAUCGGUUGUUCGACAUUGUGGAUGCUCAAGUUUUGAAAGAAGAUAAGAAGGAAGAGAUUGCAUUAGUUGCUAACCUUGCGAAAAGAUGCUUGAACUCGAAUGGGAGGAGCCGGCCCACAAUGAAAGAAGUGGCAAUGGAGUUAGAGGGGAUGAGAAAGCUCCCAAAUCCUUUGGGUAUUCAGCAAAAUCAAGAGAACCGAGAGGCAACUGAAUCUUGUGUUGCUGCAUGUAAAUCCAGCAAGUCAAACAUCGACGCAGAUGUCACUACAUUUUCGGAUGUGCAGCAAUUCUUACCUAGUGAGACGUGGUGAAGAUCUGUUUUGCCUCUUCCACUUACGAGUUAUAUUGCUGUGUUUGUCAUGGAAAUCGGUUUUAAGAGCAAAAGAUAGAGAAAAGAGGGAAGGGAGGAAAGCUUGUUAGUUUACUAAUAGGAGGAUUUUGGUUAGUUAUUUAUUGUUAAUGAACUUAUUCUCGGUGUUUGGGAUCAAUUAACUGUUAAGUCAUGCCAAUCCCAAGUUAAUUAUAGUCCUGUAAUUAGCAUGAGGAAAGCUUGUUAGUUUACUAAUAGGAGGAUUUUGGUUGGUUAGUUAUUGUUAAUGAACUUAUUCUCGGUGUUUGGGAUCAAUGAACUGUUAAGUCAUGCCAAUCCUAAGUUUAUUCUAGUUCUGUAAUUAGCAUAAUGCCGUGAUUUUAGCCCAUCUUGAGAUCUUUGAAUACUUGCUGUCAAUUCGGUUGUUGCAAAACUUACAUUAGUCAUGCAGUGGACCAACCUUUGCGAUUCAAUUAGAUUUGUACUUGUUGGGAAGGGAAAACAAGAAUGACGUUUCCCUUCUGGAAAAGAAGGCGAACUUGCAUCCGCCUUCCCCGCCCGGCUCUUCCCUGAAGAUCAUACUGAAUUGUUGAUGGCAUAGAGGAGGGAUUGUUGCCGGCUGCCGAUGCUCCAGCUGCUUAGAUCCUCACCACGUGAUGUAUCAAACUCACCACCCAAAUUGCAUAUAUCAACAUCAAAAAACCCCACUAGUUGCAGAAUUAUCUCUCCCGAUCCUAGCCAACCUUACUUGUCUAUUUUCAAUGGCAAAAAAAAAAAAACAGUAAAAAUCAAUCACGCAUGGACCAACUCGUACGUAAGAGAUAUUUACUUCUCAUUUUUAGCAUAGAAGAUGUUCGGUGCUCUUUUUUCAUAUGUCCAUUGAUUUUGUCACGAUAGUAGUGUUUGAUUAAAUGCCCUUAAGGAACGUAAGUCAUGUUGUUUGUAGAAUAAAACUCAUAUGGAUCAUAAAUUAGUUUUAUGUCUUUAUUAUUGAUGUUGACACCCAAAUUUUUGUAAAUUUUUUAAAUAUCCAUUUAUUUUGCAAAAAUAUAAAAAUUUAUAAAUAAAAAAUAAAAAGCAAAAAAAAAACAGAAAUCAUAAAAAUAUGAUGGUGAUGAUGAUGAUGAUGAUAAAGUAAUAGUAAUAAAAAAAUGCAUGAGAGUGAAAAAAAAUGAUGAAAAAAUAAUGGAAAAGUCGAGUGGGCUGGUGUAGCACGCCCAUUCUUUUAUUUCUUUUUGAGCCCACUCUUCUAUUUUUCUUCCAGUUUGGCCCAUCGGAAAUUUAAUAAAAGAGAGACCCAGCCCAUCAUCCCUUUUCUCUCCCUCUCACGCGCGCAGGGGUGAACCCAGCGGCAAUGGCGCCAGUCCAGUGACGCCAGAAGCGAUGAUGCCAGCAGAAGGAAUAUUCCAGCUGUCGUCACUUGUCAGAGUGGAGGAAGGAGGCAGCGAGAGGGGCGUGCAAGGCCAAAAAAAAGGAGAGAAGGGCUCAGUUCGUGGGAGUUGGCUAGAGAAAAAAUGGGAUAAACAUAUUAGAAGUAUCAAAAGUUAUAUAUGACACUCAUUUUAAUAUUAAAAAUUUUCGCCAGCUCAAUUAAAUGCUAAAUCAGAAGAAAAUGAUUACUUGAAUACCAACGGUAAGAAAUUUUUACCAAAUUGAUUAAGUGUCAUUUAUAAUGCACUAAAGUGAUCAUUUUUUAACAAUGACUAAUACUAAAAUGAUUACUUUAAAUAAAUAAAUAAAUAAAUUGGUAAGGCACUUUAAAUAAAAUUUGUCACUCAAAUGAUCACUUUCAAUAAAAUUAGAUACUUAAAUGAUCAUUAUUUACAAUUUUUGGAUAACAUCAUUUAGGGAUUAUAUGUUGACUAGGCACGUGACAAGCCACGUAGGACUGAAAAAUCAAUAAUAUAUACACGUUGGAUUUCCGGCAAUUUGGACCGGAGUUGGCACUUGGAUGAUCAUUUUUUUCAAAAAAGUAGUACUUAAGUAAUCCGAAAAAAUCUUUAGCAUUAAAAUGAGCGUCGUGCACAACUUUUGACACUUUUAAUAUCCUUACCCCAAUAAAAAUAAAUAAACACAAGAGAGCCAUUCUUUCAGGGAAAAAGAAGAAAACGAGAGAAAGGAAAGGCUGAGGAGAGGAUGUUUUUGGUUUUUCCCUAGAGUGACAAAAGCGAGGUUGUUGGAGCUCAUUUCAAAGCCGAUCAAAGGUCCAUGCAGCGUCAUCCUUUGUUUUUUCAAUUUUUUGUCUAGAAAAUUUCAAAAGAUGACCCGAAAUGCCCUCAUUUUCUCAAAUAAGGACCGAAGCGGACCUUAUUUCAAAUAAGAGCUUGAAAUGCUAUUACUUUUCUCAAAUAAGGACCUGAAGUGAAUCUUUUUUAAAAUAAGGGCUUGAAGUGGCUAUGUUUAUUUCAAAUGAGAGCCUGAUUUUUCGACGAUCAACGGUAUUUUCGUUAUUUACCAUUUUCCCUUUUUUUCUUCCUUUCUUUCUUUUUUCUUUCCUUUUUUUUUUUUGUGGUUCUUCUUCCUCUACGUUGACGGCUGAUCGGCCAACCACUAGCGAUGGCCAUAGAGGACUGGGCGAGGGUUAUCCUUACCCAAUUUGACAAGGGCCACCCAUGCCAGCCAUAGGUAAGGGACAGUCUCGCCUCGGUGAGGCGACCCUCACCUGGGGGAGGCUACCCCUCACAGCUAUCCAUGAGGUCGACCCUCACCAGCCACAAGUGGGGGCUCCACAACCCUUGCUAGCCGUCAGCAAGGGUCAUUGAGCUCUCGUUAACCCCAAGCGGCUGAUACUCACUAUACAAUUGAAAAUUUUAGUUGACUAGUGAUCGGUGGGGUCAAGCCCUUAUUUGAAAUAAUCAUGGUUAUUUGAGGGUCUUAUUUGAAACAAUCGAAGUCACUUCAAUCCUAUAUUUUAAACAAGAUCCACUUCAGGUCUUUAUUUGAAAAAAAAAAAAUGAUUACACUUUGGAUUUUUUUUGGAAUUUUCCAUUUUUCUUCGGCAAACAUGGAGUGGCUUUAGCCCUAAACUCUCUCUCGCCAUCACCAAUCGAGAUCUUGACUUGUCUAAUAUACCAAUACCAAGUAAGAUUCCCCUUUCCUGAACCCCAAAAAGAACCACCUAGGUUGAUUCAUGCUCUCGGCAAAAUCUUGUUAAACCGAAGUAAUUUCAUGUCGAGCUACAAUGCUUUGAACCCGGAAUGCGAGUUCAUUAAUGAACACCAAAUACUCGAUGUAUUUCUUAAAUGAAACACAUAAUGGUUGAGAACCCCGAACUCGAAUGGAGAAUUUCAAGUGACUCGUGAUAGACUGAGAUGGGUUUAACAUGAAAAUGUGUUGAUUCCAGCCUUUAUGCAUCAUGUUUAGUCCGUAGUUUGCAAUAAAUUUCGCUCUGGAAUGCAUGCUUAAAAUCGCAUAUCAACCGUUUGAUAAAAUAGCUGAGAGAAUGCCGAGUAUUGUGAUUCAUCAUUGAAUCCCGAGAUAGAUCCGUUCAUGUUCGCUUCUGGGUUGGUUGAGUCUGCUCUGAUAUUCUUUUUUCUCUGUCUGGUUAUGUGAUUCUAUGGGAACGAUCGAUCGCCGGCGAGCGAGCCGAGAGUCCCCCCUUUGGCUGAAGCUCUCGCUCCACAUCUGCGAAUCCUGCUGUCCAGGGCUACUCUAGUUAGGCCAUUCUCUCCAUAUUCGUGUAUUUAUGUUCGCUUGUUUUUCUGGUUUGCUGAUUUUAGAACCCAUGGUUCGCGUAGUUUUUGUUUCGGUGAAUUUGUUUUGGGUCGCCGGAGUAGACGGCCGGUGAUGGGCCGACGGCGGUGAGGGGUGGACGACAGGCCGGCGAGUGGUAGCCCGAGUGGACGACCAUGGAGGGUAAGGGCUCGGCGGCGGCCUGAGGUUUGGUCGAGAUCCCCUGGUUCGGUGAAGAAUGAAUUUGCAGGCGGCGAAGGAGAUGUUCUCGCUGAACAUGGUCUGCGAAGAAGAACGAAGGUGCAGGAGAAGAAGACAAAAUAGGGAAGAAGACAAAAGGAAUAAAAAGAGUUUGAAAAAAAAGGAAAAUCAAUGAAAAAUUCGUAAAAUCUAAAACUAAAUUUUAAAAAAUCGUUUUAUAAUCCGAUGCGGGUCGCAUCCGGGCAUGCGGGUCGGAUCAAGUAAAUGCGGUCCGAACCCAUUCCCAAAUAUAAUAAUAAUAAAAAUUAUUUAAAAUUCUAAAAAAUCGUAGAAAUCAUUAUAAAUUUCCUGAAAUUUUUAAAAACUCAUCAAAUCCCUAAAAAAUUAAUAAAAGGUUUUUAAAUUCGUAAAAAAUGUAUAAAUCAGAAAAAUCAUUAGAAAAAAUCAGAAAAAAAAUUAAAAUCAUAAAAUAAAUUUAAUUAGUUGAAAAAAUAAAAAAUAGAAAAUUCAGAUAAAUCAUAAAAAUCAUAAAAAAAUUAGAAAAAAAUUUCUAACCCAGAAUCUUCAUAAAAUUUUAGGAAAUUCAGAAGAUCAUACAAAAAUUUCAGAAAAUUCAAAAAAAAAAUUUAAAAUAUUUUAAAGUUCAUAAAAUUCAGGAAAAUUCAGGAAAAUUUCAUAAAAAAAAUUAGAAAAUUGGAAAACUGUUAAAAAUUGAAAAUCCAAAAUUGGACGAGUCUUUAGGACUUUAUAAUAGGGUUAUUUGUUUUGAAUUGUCUUCUCUUUUUUAGAGACAAUUUAGGACACUUACGUGUUUUCUUUGCGAUUAUACUUGGUUGUGCCUGUUUAAUACCUUGGAUGUUAUUUUCUUUGUUUUAGAAUCGUUAGGAUGCAACCGAGAAUUCUCUUAUAGAUUGCUAUGGUGUAAGUUAGCAUUUAAUCGAGUUAGAUACUAGAAUGGCGUUAAUCUUAGAAUUAGUGUAAUCAAGUUUUCGGAUUUAGAAUCUUGGAUUGCACAAAUAGUCAAAUAUCCUCCUGUAUUUUACUCAGUUGCUAGUUGAUCAAAAAAGGCUAGUGGUGGCUUCUGAGUCAAAAUUUAUAUAGGAUUGAUUGAUCAAAAAAUGAAUGUUUGAUGUCGUGCGAGAUAUAGACUAUGAUCGAUGAAUCAUUUGUGGUGUUAACAAUUGAUGGUCCAUCCAUGAUCAUCAUUUGUAUGGACCAUUCAAUUAAUCUCAUAAGCAAAUAUCUUAAACCUGAUUUUACCCUCCCUGGGUCAGAAAGGGUCAAGUCGAGACAGCUUCAAUUAUAAAUUGAGCACAAAAUUGUGGGAUUUAAAUUACGGAUUUUUUCGUAGUUCGAAUUGUCCCAGACACUACUUUUUGACAACAUAUAAUAGCCUCAGAUUUGCUCCUUGGGUUGUCUAAUUCUUGUAUUUUCAUCUCAAACUUCACAAUUACCAAAUUCUUUGAGAAAGAAGUUUUCUGUUAAGCUGAUUUUAUUUUUCACACGUGCAUUAGAUCUGUUCCAUGAAAAGCACCAAAAACUGUGGUUUUUCAAAAUUUUAUCUACUUUUCUAUUAAAUUGAUUAUAGAUUCUAUGUUUAUUUGAUAAUCACCGCCAAAACUACAAGUGAGAAAGAGGGAUCAUGACCAAUAUUGGCUUCUCUUUUUCCGAUAGUUUUUCUUUUUUAACUCUGGCAUAUGUUUUUCCUCUGUGAAUACUUUAUUUUUUUUCAAAAGAUUGGUUUAUAAUGGAAAGUUUCAUAAAUGGGCUCACAGCUCAUAGUAUACUUCCCUGAAACCCAAAUCUUCUCCCCAAAAAAGUUCAAUAUCCAAUUAAUUGGGCCCCUCUUGCAGCCAGAACUCCCUUACGCCCAGAUCCACUCGCCUGGCGUAGAAACGACAAUGAAAAGGAAUUGGCAAAGCGUGGCCGACCAACGGGCAUAAUUUGGAAUCGAAAUCUCAAAUUGGAAUAUACUUCUCCUUUAAAGAAGAGGUGUCUGCAUUUGGGUUCGAGUGUAUCUCAUCCUUGAGUGGCGCCCUCCUCAGCUCUACGACCUUGUCUGAUGACAGCACCCUUCUCAGCCCCUCCACACCCCCCUGCAGCACCGCCGCCACCAGUGCCCCCACCUGGCUGUUGUUCCACACAUGAUGCAUCGCUAAUCUCGUGCAUGGAGUCAGUGAAGAGAGCGGUGAUCGAGGGAAGGGCACUCGGCGUUGGUAGUUUAUUUGCAAAACAAACUAAAGAGGUGUCUUGUAUCAUAUUAAAAAAAAUACGUGGACUAAAUUUGGCAUUAAUUCUCAAUUAUUUAUUUUUAUUUUAUAUUUAUUAAAAUUCGAAUUUAUAAUUAUAAAACAACCAAUGUGUCCUAUUGAAACAGUGUGACUAUUCAUAAUAGAUUAACAAUUAUUUUUUUAUUAUUUAAUUUUUAAUUUAUUAUUUUUGCUUAAUGAUUAUUAGGCACUCUUACAACUGAAGCUAAGGGUCAAAGAGACCUUUCUUUUGCAAGUCUUGAAUAUUUGCAUCUUCUGUUGCGAUCCUAAGACUAAUGUGGAAUUUGGAUGUGAUCCCGACGAAGAGGGAUAGAACUAUGGAGACUGCCGAGUAUGGGCAAAAGGAAGCAGAGGGAGCGAGACCUGAUGUGCUUCAAACCUAAGACGGGAUCCUAUGAAAAGAGGCAAAGCAAGGGGUGUAGCUUCAAGUUCAAGAAACAGCGAAGAUAUGAGGUCAGGUAGGCACGCAGCUUCUAGUUCAGGAAAGGGCAAAGGCAUCGAAUGGGAAGGAGAAUAACUUCAAGUUCACAAAGCAGCGGGAUUUUGAAUACGGAAAGGGGCAAAAGUUCACCGUUAGGAAAGGGCAAAGCUUGGAGUUCAAAAAGGGGAACAACUUUGAGUUUAGGAAGGGGCAAAGGCUCUACCUUAAAGGUCCAAGUUCAAGAAGGGGCAUAACUAAAAAGGGCACAAUUUUGACGGACAAAGGUUGUUCAAGUUCGGCCAAGGCUGAGCCUCAAACACGAACAAGCAUCAAAGCAAGUGGAAGAUUUAAGCUACUAUGACAUAUUUAGUAGAUAUGCAUGUUCUUCAAUCUCUGUGCAGGCAAUGCACGGUUACUAUUAAUUUGUAAUUGAUAUGUAUUAUGGGGUCAUUAUGUAAUUAUGUUAUUUUAUUUUCUCGGACUGUAAUUAACUGGUUUUAUAAUUACAUAUCUUGCGAUCCUAAUUGGGGCCAAACCACCAUGAAUACUCUUUUAUUAUUCUCUCUACUCUCUGUGACUCUUCAAACUGUACCUUUCAAAGGAGACUCUAGGCCAAUAUUUCUAGGUAAAAAUUUUCUUCGGCUUUUCCUACCUAUAACCAACAAGUGGUCAUGGAUGUGGAUCAUCUGCUCCUUCCAUGAGCUAAUAUGUUGUCUUAAUUCUGUUACAGGUGUUUCCAGUUCUUCUUUUCUGGCCUCUUUCCUAGUUUUAUUCUCAUUCUGUUAAUUUUUUUUAUCUAAUGACUGCAAUAACAAAUUACUUUAAUUAUCUUAUUUUCUUGCUACAUUUAGUUCUUCUAAAACAGCAGGUUUACUCCAUUCUUCUUUUUGGCCAUUCACCAUUUGUGGUAUUGCUUUAUUGUUCUCUCCUAAUUUUGAUCCAACUAUGGGAGAAUGAUUAAUAUUUGGAGUUCUCCAUAUGCCAUAAUGUAAGUUGUAUAGUGAUUUUCUAUGUUAUUUAUACUUCCUUCUUUUACUCUACGUAGAAACCAAUGGAAGAAUUUCGGAUUUACUUUAUUUUAUUUUAUUUCAACAUCCCUUUUGAAAAUAAUUGAAAAGUUGCAUCAUUUCCAAUUACUAACAUCAUUUUCCCAACUACCUUAAUUGCAUAAUCUGUAUAUUAAAAGGUUCCUCUUUUCUUAUAUAAAAGUACAUCUAUUUGUGGUAUAUUCCAAUUAUCUAAACUUUUCUCAACAUAUGUUAUCAUUAAUUUCUCAUAAUUCUUAAACUUAUUUUGCAUAUAUUUCCUAGGACUAGAACCUAUGUAUGGAAUAAAUAUAACUACCUUCAAAGAAAUUACUAAUAUCAGUCUUGUCGUGUAUUAUCUAUUCAAGGAUUUAUAACCUUUUCUUGUCCUAACAUAACUUUUAACCUCCUAAUAGUUACUUUCAUGGGUUACGGGACUUGGUGAUAAUCAAAUGUGACAAGACUAAAGUUAAUUGUUGUUAGUUUAUGACUCGUUAUAUUUAACCCUCGAAAUUCCCUAAAAUUAUAUAACGGCGGACAAAAAGUAAGGAAUGGAUAUUAGUCCUUUCCAAGAAAAUAUAAUUUUGAUAGGAAUUCUAUAAAUAUUUAGAGUUGUGCAGAGUAAAAAAGUGAUAACAAGAUUAAGUGUUUUGAUAAUGGCUAACGAUUGGCCGAAUUUAUCCCAACUACAAAAGUUUGGUGCUUUUAUUUGUCCCUCAUUUAUUGACAAAAGCUGGUGCAAUAUGGUAUGACCCUAACUAUUCUUUGAAUUUGCAAACUCAUGUCAUGAUCUACCGAAGGCUCCACCAAGAGCUUCAAAGCCUCCGCGUUAUUAUGCUUCCCCCACAAUGAUGAAUGGUGUCAUCGUUUUCAGCCCUAUCACGCCUUGCGCUCGGUCUUGCUCAAACCAGCUUCGUGAAAUAUCAGAUCGGCCUUUCCACAGCCGCCAUAUUAAGAGGAUAAAGACCUCCACCAUGAUCUGAACAAGAAUCAAUGGAUCAUCUCUUAGCAAGGGUAGCAAGGAAACUGUAUCUCCUUUAACCUCCUAUUCAUGCAGUCUCCUCUUCAUUUUCGAUUUGGAUACAGACCUGAGCUUCAUUACAAGACUAAUAUAUCUUGCUAUAAGAUGGCAGUGAAAGUCAACUCCUGAUUCCGAAAUUAAAUAUCAGCUCCCUUGGACCUCAGAAUUCAUCAAAUUUGUUGAACACUAAAAGUCAUUAUUGAUUAAUGAGUUGUCGUUGGUUACUCCGUGACUCCUGGAGCUACAUGAGUUAAGUAAUCUUCUUUUAAAUUCUGCAUGAACCACUUCAUAGGAGCAUAAGGCAAGAAUGUGAAAUAAUUUCAAUGGUACAUUCAGAGUGGAAGAAGAAUAUGCUAUUAAGGAAGUCAACCGAGACUUGGAUUAAAUUACCUGCAGAACUCAUGCAUUGUCAUUGUUUGUAUGAUUUAUCAUAAGCACAUCGCUGCUACAAUGAAACAAGGUUGUCAUUUUCCUUCGUAAGUCACAGCCUAAAUCUCAUCCCUCUCCAUCUAGGACUUGUCACGACCUCUUCGAGCCCUUUCGUAGGUGCGGAGGUUAAUAGAUUGUUGAGUCUAGGCUUAAUUCGAGCUCUCCCAAGCUUACUAAUUCGCGACUUAUGAUCCGAGUUUUUAACGAAUAAGUCAUUUUCAUUUAUGAGUCGCUACUAAUCGAUUUGUAAUGAAUCGACUAGAAACUCAAGUAAAAUAGUGAAUGAAAUAUUUUACUUCUGCACAACUAGAGAAAUUAGGAUCAAUGACUUGAUUAUACUAAUUAAUCAACUAAUGCCCUUCCAAUAUAUUUUUUUAUUUAAACAUCAAGUAAUGCAUUUGUGCAGUAUUUUAUACCAAUCAUGAGUCCUAGGAUUCAAUUUCUAACCAAACUAAGGAAAUAGCUAUUAAUGCAUCAUAAGGGUGUAAUUAAAAUAAAGAAAAUGCGCAAAUAGCAAUCCAACAUUUGAUUACAAUGAUUUAAACACGAUUUUUUUUUUCUUUUAAAGAUUUUCACAUUCUUAAGGAAAAACCACUCAAAGGCUAUUUUUAAGCUUUUUCUGAUUUCUUUGGAAAAAAUUUUGUGGGAUUUUUUAAAAUUCUUUUAAAAAGUAUAUAUUCAUUUAUUUUUAAAAUGUUAAAAAAUAAUAUAAUAUAUUAUAUAAAAAGGGGAUCCAGGUCGGGUCUACGCAUCUGGUCCGGUCCGAGACCGACCCGGACUCGCCAGCCCAGGUCUCAGGACUCGGGCCCUCGACCGGGCUGGGCUCAGCACGUUGGGCCCAUUUCGGCCUGAAGAAAAAUAUUAAAAGGCAAGCGGAAGUAACCCAACCCGAGAACAUUCCAAACCAGAAUUAAACUAAUUCAGCCCAGCCCUCAUCUCUUAUCCUAGGCCCAAUACGCCUAGUCCCAAUGAGCCUAACAAAAGCCAGUUCAUUAAAUCCACACAAACCUCCCCAACCCCACUCAUUCCCUAUUUCAGCCAGCUCAAGAACACUUUAAACCUACACAAGCCCAGCAUGCGGCUCUUGGUUUUGCGUGCUCGGGGAUGACCAGAGACGAACAGCCUUGAGCUGGUUCGUCCCCGACCGCGCCCCGGCCGCUAUACCGCUGCCGCCGCCGCUCCGUCAAUCGCUCACGCCGACCCAUGAGACCAACUCGCCACCCUCCUUUUGCGAUUAGCCGCGAAAUUCGUUGAUCCCCAGAGAACUUAUCGCGGGCCAUCAACAGAUAAGCGCUAUCGAAGCAACACGCAUAGGAAUAUGCCAAAGAAACGGCCAUGACACAAACUCAGUAACUGAAGAUCAUAAUAAUGCUACGUGAGCUUCGGGUAAGGCAAAAACAGCGGCUAUUCUUACUGAACCGUCUCGAGGACAUUUUAUCGAACACUUAAUAUACGCAAACUGAGGGGCGAGGAGCGAGGACGACCGAGCCCGAGCUCGAGCUGGUAUUCCGAAUGAACUACAUACCAGUCCCCCAAAACCGCAGUGCGCACAUAAAUGAGGUCAGAACUCGCGUGAACCGGACAACGUCAUCCCGGUCCGGCGAGCCCGAAACAGAGCACAAAAAGGGGUCAGAGCGUUCGGAUGAAGGAGCCCUAUCUGUCUCGGCGGCGUCGGACGGUGGGCGAGCUCGAUAGAUCGGGCUACGCUCAGCCGCCUCUCGCGUCUCCGAGCCGGGAUCCUCGGGAAAUCGACGCCCGAAAGAAAGGCGAACGAAACCGAACCAAAACCUACCGUGAACUCGGCUCGGGGAGAGGGGUAACGUCGGUGGGUCGUCGGCGGGUUUCGGGUGCGUUUGUCGACGGAGAGCCCUCGCUCACUCUCAGUCUCUCGCUCGGAUCUCUCCGCUCCCGGUCUCCCUCUCGCUGGGAUCUCUCCUCCCUGCCUCCCCCCCUUCCUUUUCCCUUUCUUCUUCUUAUUGAAGGGCCAAAAUGGAAGACGAGUUCUCAGGAGCACGUUAUACGCUCAGGAUACAUUCAGACAAAUUUAGGUGUCAGCUGGUUCAUUUAGAAAGUCGACUUUGUUUUUAUUUUCUCAGUGUUUCUUAAGCAAAAAUACUAUUUGAAUGCACCGAGACAUAAACGUUCAUUAAACGCAGAUAUUAUAGACAAUGUUAGGAAUUUUCAGGUGCUAUUUGUUCAUUUGUUCCACUAGGCAUACCUUUCACCUGUAGGUGUGUAGCUGAAACGCGUGGACUCGUUAGAACUAACAAAGACAACAAAUAAUUCCAGAAAAGAAAAAUGAUACAUCGGUUCCCGGUAGCAUUUCGAAGUAAACUCGCCCUUCUUUUUCAAAUACGGGAGAAUGCCAUUGAUAUAUAUUGGACCUUAGCAAAUUUUAUUAAUAAAAGAAGAACGAAGUUUUAAAUGAAAGAAGUAUGGAUUCGUUGGACACCAAAUUUUCCUCAAAUAAUAUAAAUUAAUGAUAUACAGAUAUGUGUUGAUUGUGAAUAACAAAAAAACUUCUCUUUUCAAAAUGAUGAAUUCUAUUAGUGGUUGAAAUGUGGCUCGAAAUUUGACUUUGUUUUGAUUUGGACGUGAAUUGGGAUUAAAGUUUGAGACAUUUGAAGCAAGCCAAAAGAUUUAGAAUGCGUGACGAUACAUUUUAGAUGUCCUAAAUCAAGUGGUGGACAUCCGAAUUAAAUGGUGAGGCAAGAUGAGGCUACUAUGGAUACGAAUUGCGGAUUUGGAUGUCUAGAGGCAAGAUUGGAAAAUUGGCCAGACUCACUGGAUAUUCGUGUGACGUCUCAAAUUUCUGUCUAGCUAUAUCAGCAAGCCAUGUAGAAAUUUAAUUUUUUGAUAACCAAAUUUAGUGAGUGAAUUAGGGACGAAGACAUUAGCAUAUGCCUUGUACGGUUUAUGUAUGCGCCCAAAGUUGCACCUUAGGACAUAAUUAGUCUUUUAAUACACCUAUAUAUAUUAUAUAUGUGGCCGGCCCUAUUAUUAUUUUUUAUGGGACAUAAUUUCUACAAUUUCCCUAAAUUAUGUUGCCGCCCCUAUAACCCAAUAGAAAGGCUAGAAAUUUAGUUAAAUUUGCUAAAUAGGCUAAAGAUAGCCUAAUGAUGAGCUGCCUCCCUCUCGAUCCAAUUAGAGUUCAUGCAAGAGGUGUAUUGAGGAAGACACCUCCCUCUUCCUUCCCUUGAUCGGCAGACCCUCUUCUCUCUCUCUCUCUCUCCCUCUCUCUCGUGCGAGCUCUCUUCCCCUCUUCCUCACCGAACAUCUCUCUCUCGUUUCCUUCCAUUUUCCUCUAAGGAUUCAAGGUCUUUCUUCAAGGAAAGUAGGUGUAGAGGUCAAGAGAAGCAAAGGCAAGGAAAAGUGGCUUUCUUCUACUUUUCUUGAUCUUUUUUAGGCUCGUUUUUGCUAGAAUAGGAGCUGUUCUGUGUUGCUUUUUGCUUGCAUGUCCUUGUUAGCGUGAGUAGAUGUAGAGAAAGUGAAAUGAUAACUUAGUUAUGUUGUGAUUUCGAGAUUUUGUGGAAGCGAAGCAUUGCAUGUCAUUUUCGUGGCUUAUAUAGUCUUGCAUGUGAGUUUCGUGUGUUCGUUUCGCCCUCACGUACGAAGUGGUUGAUUAUAAUUGAAGAUGGAUAUUGCAUGUGGCUUAGGACUUCUGGUUUUGGUGUGUUUUGAGCAAACGGCCUCGUGUGGUGCAAGUUUUUCAUGAGUUCGUGUACUGUGGUUUGGAUUUCCAAAACUGAAAUUGCUAGACCUUAUCUGUUUGUUAAUUUUGUGGAGCUUGCUGUGAUUCGAAUUUGAUGAUAAUUUCUUCAUGAAAGUGUGCAAGGCAUCUUGAUGUAUAACAUACUUUAAUUUUUAAAUUUUUCUGAGGUGGUAUGGUUGGUACGAAAGCUUAGUCAUUUACCGUGUCUGAUCUGCCUACUGCAGUAAGAACGUAAACCCAAUUGUCUUUCUCAAUUUUUAUAAAAUUUUUCCUUUUGAUUUUGGACUUGCUUCUUCAUAAAAGCUGUAGAGGACAUUCCGAUUUAUAACAUAUCCAAAUUUCAAAGUUUUUUGACAUGUUUAGGGCUGCGAGAUGAGUAUAUCGGUUGCUCUGUUCCAGUGAACCAGAUUCUUCUUUAUUUUGUACGAUUUGCUGCUCUUUAUACAAAUUGUUUUGGACUUAGUUUCCUCAUGAAAUUUUUUUGUUAAGGUCUUCUUUAUAAUAUAUUAAAAUUUUAAGAAUUUUCGAGUUCAUUCACCAUGGUUUUAGCUUUGAUUCCUUUGACUACGCAAAUCUGUUCGUUUCUGCCUUUGAUCCAAAUUGCAUUAAAUUCUUUAGGAAGGUGAUGGAAUCUUGCCUGGUGACCUACUGAUGACGCUAAUGGCAUUUGAUAGACUUUAAAAUGGUGCAUUUUGAUUGCCAUGCGGUACCAUUUACUUGUGCAAAUUGGGUAAAAACAUAAUAGGACGGAAUCUGGAAUUUUGGGUUAUAUGUGGUUGACUGUGCCGUGAAGGCAGUGAAUCGUGCGCAGUGGCAUAGUGCCCAUCCUAGUGUCAUGUGUGUUGAAUAGGAUGCAUUUUAUAGUGUGCAAAUGCUUUGUCACUACAUGAACGUGCUAUGCCUACAAUGCAUGAGAUGGAUUGUGAUAUAUGAUGCCCAAGGUUGGUGAACCUUGGAUGCCCAACGAUAGCCCGGAGGGGAUGUUGGAGGUGAAUGCCUUAGCUAACAACCAAGAUGACCUGGUUGUAGUAGGGAUGUCUAGGCUGGUGAUAAACCACAGAAGUCUUGACGAUCAACUCAAAAACUCGACGAUGGCCUAGAGUGGAUGUCGGAGGUGAAUGCCUUGGCUAACAACCAAGAUGCCCCGGAGUAGGGAUGCCACAAUAUGGGAACCGUAAAUGGGAACUGUAAAUGCCUGGUUAGUGAACCAGAGGUGACUGCAUGAGCCGCCUACAUGGACUAGUUGAGCAGUGAAAUGGGAAUGGACCCAAUGAUACUGUGCAUGAUAAAUGUGAAGUGUGAUGUACCCAUUGCAUAGUAGUGUGACCCAUCUGAUUGUAUAUGAUGCGUGUUGUGUUAAAUGCAUGUUGGCACUACUCAUGCUACUGGAAAUGGUCUAUGGGAUGUUAUGUGCUCAUACUUAGGUGCUUACUUGCUUGGAUAUUAAUUGUGUCCUAGGAAUCAAAUGUCAAUUAGAUUGAGUGGUUUAUGAGCUCGCUGUUUCUCUUGCUGAGCGUCAGCUACUCCUGUUGUUAUUUUUCGGAUUGAUAGCUAUGCUGUCGCUCCCUGCAUCCCCCAUCUCUCAUUAUGGAGCGCCCAUUACGUUAGAGGGUAAGCACCACAAAUUCACGGACCUGCACUUUCUGAGCAUGAUGUUUGUUCGAUAAACGACUGUCUUGUUAGUGAACAUAGGAUAGCUUGAUCUAAUUUCCUAUUGUCUUGUGCUAUAUUCGUGAUAGUGGACGAUUGCCUGCUAGGACCGAUUCCAUCCCCUGAUGCUCCCAGUGCAGGUGGUGAUGGGAGGGACUUGGAGGAUUAGGAGCUAGUGUAGGAUAGAGUGCAAAGGGGUCGUGCUUGUAUUUUGAUACGACUGUAACUAUUUGGGGUGCGGGAUUAUCGGGACAGUUGGAUGGAGGGACGUAUGUAUGGACGAGAAGCUUACUAUAGCAGGGUUUAGGAAACAAGCACUUUUUUUUUUUUUCAAUUUCUCCCAACUUAGGUUUUUCCUUUUGAUGUAUAAUCCGCCACCUGAUGUACAUAUAAGUAUGAUAAAUAAUGGAAGCAUGAUUCCCUUUACUUUUGGUAUUUUCAGAGGCGUGUGUAUAGUUCCUGUUAUACAUGCUAACCUUUAGAAAAAACUCACUUAAUAUAAAUAAAGAACAGAGAUUAGUAAGAGGUGGAUUGGAACGCCACUCUUCGACCAUGGACACAGUGAGCAAGAGUGAGCAACUUCGAAUGUCCGACCAAUCUAUGGCUAGAUAUCUAAACUGGACCAAAUUUUCCCAAGAAGAUUUUAGAUGGCCGAAAGCGGGAUUUAUACUAAAUGCGACCUAAUUUUGCACUAACAUCAAGUUUGACUUAAGAGAUCUCAGAAAUCGUCAAGGAACGUGAGUGUGUGAGUAAACACCUUGUAUCUCUUUCAUUUGACUAUGUGAGACUUUUUAAGUAUAAUUGGGAACUGGAAAACAUUUGAGAGUUGUAUGUUUCGAGUGAAUGUAAUUUCCUCUUGUUGAUUAUAGUAAAGCAUCACGUUGCUCUCUCCCUAUGGAGUAGGCACACUAGGUCAAAUAAUGUAAAUCCUCUGUCAAAUUUAUUUUCUACGAUGGUUUCUUGCUUGAUUGUGCUUGUUUCACGCUUCCGCCAUUUUUUAGUAUUACCCCCCCCCCCCCCCCCCCCCCAACCCAAACACAAAAAACACAACAAUGACCUAGAAAUUUAAAAUGGCCAAAAUCAGCUAAUUUGAAUCAAAUUUCGAAAUGUAUCAAUGCAAAAUGAGAGCCAAAUUAAAAACAUCCUCCAUAGGUGUUAUAGAUGAUCACAAUGAUGUGUUCACUCCUCGUUUCCAUAUACCAUAAUAUAAAUUAUUUAGAUAAUUUUCUACGUCAUUUAUACUUCCUUGAUUUAAUCUAUGUAGAAUUUCAUAUUCAUUUUCUUUUUGUUAUUUCUACGUAUCAUUCUUCUUGGCAAACCUUUCUCUUGCAGUGCAUAUUUCUGCAGACUAUUUUCUUUGGUUUUCAUUUUCUUCUGAAAGGAAAUCUUCUUUUAAGGUUUUGCAGUCUAUUUUAAAGGAAGUGCUAAUAAGUUCAUUUCAAUCUGAAAACAUGAGUGAGGUACAUUUGCUGGGAUGAAUAGUCGUAGAUGCUUUUUUCUAGCAAUGUAGGAUCAAUCCUAUGAGUAGGACAUACUCAUUGUUCUUCUGUUUUUUCUAAUUCCAUUGCAAACUAUUCCCUCAAUUUCUUUUUCUUGGAUAAGUAAGCCCGAUGAUCUAGAAGACACUCCAUAUGAAAUUCUUGCCCGAAUUAUUUCUUUAUUUAGCUCUUCUCAUCGAUCUACUUCUACUAAACUUAAUUUCUAUUUCUUAAUCUUUACAUUUACUAGAAAAAAUAAUAUAAAUUUUUUUAAAAUAUAUUCAUUGUGACUCCAACACCUUCAAAUUUCCUUUCAAGAUCUUCAGAAACCCUAAAUAUAUACUUGCUUGACACAUGUACUCUACAGUUCUAUCAAAGAUUAUCUUAAAAAAUCCUAUUGCUUACGUGGACAAUAGAAUGCAAGAGAAGCUGAUGCGGCGCUGUGAAAACAAUGAUGUCAAAAUGGUGCCUGACGUGGACUACAAAGCGCCAUUUUGCGCUCUAUUAGGGCCUGUUUGGCAAAUUUUGUUUAUGUUCCCGGAACAAAAAAUUUUGUUCUUUUGUUUCGUAGAAAAAAAAAAAAAGAACACAAAAGCAUUUGGUAAAACUUUUGUUCCUGGUUCCCAGGAACAGAUUUUUAACAAAAAUAAGAAGUAGAAAAAAGUUGUUUCUUGUUCCCGAGAACAAUUCCGAAAAACAAUUUUUCUCUCUCCUUUUUUUUCUUCUCUCUCUUCUUUUUUUAUCCUCCUCCUCCUCAUGAGUCCACCCAAGGCCACCGGCGAGGCCAAGCCUCGCUAUGGCCUGGCGAGGCUCCCGCGAGCUCGCUGGAGCCAGUAGGCGCUGUGGCCGGCAAUUGGCCACAAAGAGAAAGAAGGAAAAAAAAAGAAUAAAGAAAGAAUAAAUAAGAAAAAAUAAAGGAAAAAUAAAAUAAAAAAUAUCGAAAAAUUAAAAGAAACAACAAAAUUAUACAAGUUUACCAAACGCAUUUCUAUUUCUAGAAUAUAAUUUUUUUACAGUUACCAAGUGCAUUCUUAAACUCAAAAAUUGUUCCUAAGAACAGGAAAAAAAACUAUUUAUAUUCAAAAAUUGUUCCCUAGAACAUAAUCGUUACCAAACGUGCUCUUAGUCUUGGUUGCCGAAGUCAAUUUGGGGCAAAUUCUAGGGUUCGUGGUUCGUGUUUGCCCUCUCUCUCUCUCUCGGUUCCUUUUGUUUAACCAAUAUAUAUCCAAAUCGAGCUUCGAUUCAACUUGGGCGACUGAUUACAAGUUCACAUUGUUCCAAAUCUGGGGUUGUUUCUACUAUCUGGUGUUUUUCUGAUUGUGGGUUUCGCCCCCUUUGCUUGCUCUUUGGUUUUGUCAUUACCAAAGUUUGUGCAUUUUUGUCUCUCCAAGAUUCCCAUGAAGAGUUUUUUGCUUCAUGUCCAGUACUUUUUAACCCCUCCAUACUGCGAUUCUUACUUUUGCAACAUGAGAUUCUUUAUCUUACAUGCUCAUUGGAAGAGAUGGAUUAUAUUUUGCAUUACUCAAUUUUGUCAACUCUUUAAUUUUCUCAUAUCUUUGGUGCAUCUACACUUGCCAGUAUUCUGUAAUAUGAUCAGGAUUAUACAGAUAUAAGAUUUGAUAAGUCAAUGCAAAUAUAGCAGUUGAAUAUACCACUGGGAACCUGGGAUUGAGAUACUGUUGGUGCGAACUUGGUGCUCUCAUCAUUGUUUAGAGCUCCGAAAGGCCACUCUACUUGGAUUUAAUGGGCUUAUUGGAUGUGUUUGUCGGAAUCAUUUUGCUAAGCGCAUUGUUCUUGUUGCGUUGCAUAUGCUUUUGAAUGCUAGGGCCAGAAGAUAACAACAUAUUAUGACCCCUGAGCUACAUAGGAGUAGAUGUCCGUCUUGGCUUUCUCUUUAAUUAUUCGAGCUAGCUACGAGUCACUUUGUUAUUUCCAUAAGUUUCUGUUGCACUAUGCAAUGGUUAAGUUUUGAGUUUCUUAUGACCAUAUGUUGGCCAAUGGAAGGAGAUUCUGUCGUUGGAGGUGAUGGUUGGUCAAUUUUCUGCAACAGAGUAGGGAUUGAUGAGUUAGUACAUUGUCAUUUGAAAUGGUUGCUUGUAAUGGCCAGCUAAGUAUAGGACCGGUUCACUAUCAUAUGUUGUUCAUCAUGGGUGGCUAGGUCAGCAUUAUGUUGUGUAUUGGGCAGUUUAGUGUUAGCCAAGGAUAUGGUUGCUUUGCUAUGUGCUGUGCAUUGUUGAAUUUAAUUUGUUGUGUUUUGUUUGAAGGCCUCUAUUUCACAUAAUUUCUAGUGUUUCCAUUAAAUCAACAUGUUUUGCUGUAUGUUCUGCUGUGCAUUAUUCAAUUUGAAGUUCCUAUCCAAAAGCAUGCACUGCUGGAAUUUGAAUUGCUUGCUUGUAUUGAGCAGGUUAAUGAUUGCAAUUUUUUCAAAUGGAUUGAUCCAAAGUCCUUGUUACAUGGCAGAGAUAUGAUUGAUCAAUGAAAAAAAAGCAUUGGUAAAUAGAAUUGGAAGUGUGAAAGUUAGUUGAAAGUAUUUGAGGAGAAAGUGCACAUUCUCGAAAUGUAGCUAGAAAGGAGUAAGCGACAGGAUAACAAGAUACAAGUGGAAGUGUCUCCACUGGAAGCAAAGGUAAAGAUCUAUUUUGGAAGCAGAAGGAAACUGAACUAUUUGAGAGGCAUAGCUGUAUUGAAAGGAUUGAUGUGCCCAACCCUAAUGUUGAAGUUGGACCCAAAAAAAAUAUAUAACAUUCGUUUAGAUUGACAAAAACGUUGAAUUGGGGAUGGUUGUUUUAUUUGUCUAUAUUUUUUGCUUCUUGGUAUUGUAAAUGGAGGGCAGAUGAAGCAAGACCAAUGUUAUGAUGCAAAAAAAUUGAAAACUGUGUUAAAAUGUAUUAGCAAAUCCAAGUUCAACUGUGUUCAAUGUAUUAGCAAAUCCACAUUCAACUGUGUUCAAUUGUCUGUAGAGAAAGAUGUCAUGUUCCCUAUACUGCAUAUUUAUUUCAGAUUCCUGGAGUAAUACUAUCAUAUUAUCGUGUCACACAUGCUGAAAAGGUAAAGGAUUUAAGUUCUCAAACUUUUAAAAACUAUGGUCAUCCUAAUUGGAAGGGGAGGGAUUGGCUUAGAGAUGAAGAAAAUAAGAAAUAGAGCCACCAUGCAUCCACAAACAGAACAACUAUCACCAAUUUUAUGCUUCCAAUGAGGUCUAAAAACCUCUCUUCAUUUAGAACUUGAAUGAUUACAAUAGGAAAAAGCUAGUGGACAAGUUGGUAUAUUGUUCAGAAAAUAGGAAAAAGAGAAAAUUACAACCAACUUAAAAGAUUACAACAAAAAAACACCAACUAAACAUUAGCUACCAAGAUGGUAUAUGGUUCAGACAAUAGAAGAAAGAGGAAAUUUACAACCAACUCAAAUGAUCACGGCACAUCUAUCACAUAGAGCCAUCACAACCAUAUGUUGUUGUUGCAUUGGGCUUUGGUGUGGCUGCACACCAAAUCCUUCCUUCUUAUCUCCGUGCUACAAAGAGAUUAAAAGAAGAUCAGCAUACUCCAUCUUGAAAUCAUCAGUAAGAGCAUUUCACUAUAAUUAGUUCCCCACAUACAUGCAAACCAAUAUCAUGUUGAAAUUGAGUAACUUUACAUAGAGAAUUCCUCGGAAAAUGCUUCACUAGAUAAUUGUGAUUUUAAAAGAAGUAUCCGGGAAUUCUCAAAGUCCAAAAGCACUUGUCUUUUUUUAAAACUUUUAAUUUUUUAAGUAAGCCACCCAGUAAUUUGCAAUUCUAUCCAAAAUUAGUUGAAAUGACUAUAUUGGUAAAUUAUUAAAAGUAUUAUGACUAAAUUUUGCCAAAUUGAAAUAUUUAUAAUUGAAUUGGGAUCAAUUUAAUAGGUUUCAAUUUUUUUUUUUUGACAGUUAUCCCAUUGUAAACUCAAAUCCUCCAAAAACCAUUCACUUCAUGUGGAAGUUGAGGGGUUUUUUUCCUCUAUCUUCUUUUUAUUGGGAGGCCAAAAUGGAAGUUGAGGGUUGUCAAGAGCUCCUUAUGUGGGAUUGGAUUGGAUUCCAAUCUUGGGCUUUUAUAAUGCAAGAUGCACCAGUCCCUAAUAGUAAGUUGAAGCACGUUAUGCGUCUAGAAUUCAGGAUACAUUCAUAUAACUCUUCCAAUAUGGCUAAUUUAGUUCUAAACAUUUUAAUAAUAUACUAAUAUAGUCAAUCCGACCAACUUUUGUCAGAAAUAAUUGGCAUGGUCGUCAAGCAUCCUAUAUGGCACGGCCGACACCCAACUGAUGCUAACAUGGAUAAUUUGUGUAAUUUGUUAAGGAUUAAUACCCUGAAAAACCCCAAACCGAUACAUAUAUGACAAAUUUACCCCAAACUAUUUUUUUCAUCACCAAAAACCCCAAAUUUGUACACUUUUAACAAAUUUACCUCAAACUAGUACACUUGUGAUAAAUUUAUCUUUGAUUAGUUUCUGUUAAAUUUUACUAUAAAAUUACUAAGUUAAAUGACACAUGCCAAUUGAUUGGUGUACCAGUUUGAGAUUUUACUCUCCGUUUGUCACAAACAAUUUUUGUAAUUUUUUGUGGUAUUAAUCCAAUUUAACAAAUGAUAUAUUUAUCAUAAAUGUACAAGUUUAUAGUUUUUGACCGUCAAAUAAAUUAGUUUGGAGUAAAUUUAUCACAAGUAUAUAAAUGUAGGAUUUUUUAUGGUCGGUUGGGGUAAAUUUAUCACAUGCGUACCAAUUUAGAGAUUUUCAUGAUAAAAAAAAUUAGUUCAGGAGAAAUUUGUUACACGUGUACCAAUUUUGAGUUUUUCAAGGUAUUAACCUAUUUUUAAUAUUAUAUCUUAAUUUUUUCCUCUUUUUCCAUAUAUCUUCUUUAUUUCUAUUUUUUUUUUAAAAUGACGUCAUAGGCAUCGCGUGAGGGCAUCGUGGCCUUCACCCAAGCCCUUACCAAGAUCCAAGUGAGGGUGUUGGGCCCUUGUUUAGGGUUGGUUGGGGACCUUACCCACCCAAAGUUAGAGGAAAAAUGAAAGAAAAGAAGAAAAGAUUUCAAAAAAGUUCAAAAAAUUGCAAAAAUUUUAGUGCCAAUCGUCCUACGUACUAAUCAUGUCAAAUAGGACAACUAGUGCUAAUUAGACCGCAAUAUUAGUGAUUUCUAAUAAAAAUUUAUCGAAAUAACUAAAUUGGCAAAUCGUAAAAAAGUAUAUGACUAAAUCGGCACAAUAUUUUAAUUAAAAAAAACUUGCCACAAUUAAAAGGUUUAUGAUUAAAUUGACUGUAAUAUGAUAGGUUCGAGAUUUUUUGGACAAUUAUUACGAGGAAAAUUUGGUAGAGUUUUGACACAAAUUUUUUUUUUGGGUCAGUGUUUUGGCAUAGUUUGAGCGUCCCUUCUUUCUCUAUGUUAUUUCCAUAUAUUUUCUUGAUAUUUCCAAUAACAACCAUUGCAACUCAUGCGUGAUCCCCACUCUGAUUGCUGCACAUUUCCAUGAUUUCCUCUAUUUCGACGAUUUAAGUUACUCCUAAGAUAAUCACACGUUAUGCAAUAACUACCCCUUCAUUCAAGAUUCAAUCUGUUUUGUAAUUAUUCUAGUGCUUAACUUAUACAAGGCAAGGUUCCCUUUCCUGACUAUAAUCAAAAUGGCCAGCAACACACCUCAGAUCAAAGUCAUGUCACACGACCUCCAGUUGAAGUUAAACUGGAUAAGUUCCGGAUCGAAGUUGGCCCUAGUAUAACUAGACUCCUUAUACUUUGCUAAUAGUUGAAAUCUCUCCUCAAUAUCUAAGCCAAAUGUUCACCACCAACUGGAGAUAAAGAAUAAUGUUGUGAAAAUCUCUAAAAAAGUAGUACUGAAAAAGUAAGAGUACUAAUGAGAGUUAUAUGAUAAGAACUGUAAUUUUCAUCUCUCAUUUUGCUGGCACUCUAUCUUACUACAUUUUAUAUUAUACUUCCACUGAAUAAAUUAUUCAAUCAUUUUGAUGCUAUACAUCCCAUGAUUGAUAAAACUACUUUUGACCUUUAAAGUGAGCCAACCGACAAAGACCAAGUUAGUCUUCGUCGUCUUCAUUUUUUGCUAGCAAGGGUUCACACAUUAUUAGUUCCUAAUGAAAAUUGUCAUUUUCAUUUCUCUGCUUUUACUAAGCUUUAUCUUACUGCGUUUCAUGUCAUAUUUCCACUGCUAAAGUUGUUUUGUAAUGUUAAUGUCAUACAUCAUGCAUUUUGAUAGAGCUACUUUUGAUCUUAAAGUAAACCCACCAAUAAAGACCAAUGUUGACAACCAUCAUUUUCAUUUUUCUUCUUUACAAACACUCUGUCUUAUUACAUUUCAUAUCAUAUUUCCAUCGGUGAAAUUGUUUCAUCAUUUUGAUGGCAUGCAUCACACAAUUGAUAAAGCUACUUUUGAUCUUUAAAGUGAGCCUACCGACAAAGACCAAGAGUUCAUCUUGGUCAUCUUCACUUUUUUGCUAGUGAGGGUUCACACAUUAUUGUUCAUAUUGAAAUAUGUUAGCAAUUAUCAUUUUCAUUUAUUUGCUUUACUAAUGCCUUAUCUUAUUGCAUUUCAUAUCAUAUUUCCACCGAUGCAAUCGUUUUAUCAUUUCGAUGGUGGGCAUCAUGCUAUUAACAAAGCUACUUUUGACAUUUAAAGUGAGCCAACCGAUAAGAACCAAGUUAGUUUUGGUCGUUUUCACUUUUUUAUUGGCAAAUUCGCACAUUAUUGGUUCAUAUUGAAAUCCUCCACUCAGUUCCAGCCUCACAGUCACAUACCCAAACCCAUCUUUUCUCGAGAGAGAGAGAGAGAGAGAGACUUUUCUUUUUGGGUCUCACUCAAUCUCUAUAUAUUGUGUACAAUGGGUGCACAGUGUUGCCACGCAUGUAAAAGAUAAAAAAAGUAGAAAUUUGCACAUCCUAAUAUAGACAUAAUUACAACUUUCAUCCGCCCAACUAACCCUUUACAUCCUAAGUCUCACAUCUUUACAUUCGUCUGUCAUAAUAACCGGUAGCAAUACUUUCACCGAGUUCAAGACAUCCGUAAGUAAGAGCAACAAAGCUAAAGUAAUAAAUAGAGCAUGUGACCGAAAGAGUGCUAACAAUCUCAUAAUAGUGCCAACAUAAUUUGGUAAAGCUUAUAAGUUCUCUUGACCAUAAAGUCAUGUUAUCAUGCAUCUAAACACUAUUUACACAUCACUCGUGCGCAACCGUAUAGUGUCUUGUCACUACCCUCUAGUAACGCCAAGUGACUAUCGGAUCCAUGAGAUAAACACCACUAUUGGUCACUAGGUUGGACUAACCACUCAUCCCCAAUGUCUCGUUUGCACGUGCUUGUGGCUAACAAAUCCAUUAAUAUCCUUUAUAAUACUGGAGUUUUUUUUUUUUUCCUUUUGAUAAAGUAUAUGAUUUUUUUUCCAACGUUGAAUGAAAUGUCAAUUGCUACUUCAGUUUUGUUUUGUUUUGUUCUUUUUUUUUUUUUUGGGUGAAUAAUGCCACCUUGUACAUGUUAUAAUGGACAACACGCCGAAAUAAAAAGGAAACAAAAGUAUCCUUCCCAUAUUUUUGAUGAUUUUAAGCUUAAGACUUGAUUGUAUAAAGAAACGCAAAGCACGAGAAGCAAUAUUGCUAUAAAGUCAAAGUGGGGCAAGAUGCUCCUAUCCAAAUAGGUGCAAUUAAGGGUUGGAACCUAAAUGACCAAGGAGUGGCGAGAUACUCUACAAAGUCAUUCAUGAAAUCAUUGACUUUUCUUCAUAUGAAAGGAGAAACAUUAAUAUAUCAACACAAUGAAACAAAAAGAUAAGUGCAUAAACCUUAAGCAUUGACAAAUUAAUAAAGGUUUGGAUGAUUUGUAGAGUGAUACGUGUGAGGUAGUUUGUUGGUUAUUCAUUGAUUUAGUAGUAGGAUUCAAACAUAAAGAAAAGAUAUGUUGACAGAAUUUUUAUUUAGUCUACUGUCAGUAGAAAAAAUAAUUUACAAUUCAUUGUAUAAUUAACAUGUUGAAAGUUUCUAUUACGUAGCUAUCUUGAAACACACAUGUCACAUGUUCAAUGUUAAAUCCAUUAGAAAAAUUUACAUCGCUAUUAAAAUAAUAAUAAUCCUUAGCGAAUUAGGCAAAUGCUCAUUCAACAUUGAUAUAUAAAAAAUAUGAAUGGAAAUGAGAAUGUUGUGAACUCAAAGGUUUGAGAUAUAAGCUUUGUCUUAAGCAAGAAAAGAACUUUUGUAGAAGAGAUUCUAUACAAGAAGUAGAGCGUAGUAUAAUGCAAUGUGACUGCACGAUUUAUUCCAUUUCAAAAAGAAGAGGAAAUGCAAAAUACUUACUAGACAUACUAUUUAAUAACAAACACCAUCUAAAUUACUAUUGAAUAUACAAAGAAAUGUGUCUAUUAGAACAUACCAUCUUGAGAAGAGGUGUCUGCAUUUAUUUUAUUUAAAAAACAUAUUCAUCUCUACGUUGCUUUUUUCUUAUAUUUGUCAAGUUAUAUUUGGUGAUUGGUGCUACUAGAGGGCGAGAUGAAAGGAGAAGAUAAGAAAUCUGUGUUACAUUUCUAACGAUUUAUUCACGUUUAUCUUUAAUUGUGUUUCUUCUGCAAUAAACAAAGAGCACUGAAAAUUGUUGUUAUUUGAGUCGAAGGUCUCUAUUGUUCACCCCUUGUUUAUGUCGUAUGAGGUGCUCUAUCACGCAAUAGAUAACAUAUCUGAAUUUUGGAUUAUGCCAUUUGAGAGAUUUUGGAUUGGGCAGGCUUAUCCUUUUGUCGGUACUCCUCAUGCUAUGAUGCCUCUGCCCCUUGACUUGGCAGCGGCACAAAGGCCUGUUCAUGGAAAUGCUAAACAGUAUCAGAGAACUUUGAGACGAAAAGAAGCCCGUGCUAAGCCUAAAAAGCAGCCGAUCAAAGUUAGAAAGGUGAAUUGCCUUUAUAAAAAUUAAUUAUAAAGCUUUUUUUUUUUUAAUUUGAAGAUACUCCGCUCGGAUUUGCUUCCUUAGCCACAUGUUAUACUGUCGUUAAAUGCUAUUUUUAGGGAAUUUUGUUUUGUGGGAAAUAGUCUGACUGCAUACUUCAUCUUCGUUACAGCUUUUGUAGCUAUCUCAGCAUUUAAUUCAUUGGGAUUGAACUUAAUUGAUAUCUUAUCUUUGCUCGUUCUCUAAUAUGGUGUCGCUCCUUUCUCGUCUUGGUUUAAUCGGAUCUAUAUUCGUAUCUUCAUGAGUUGUGGCACCAGCAUGCCAUGAGAAGAGUCAAGGGAAGUGGAGGGCGGUUUCUUAAUGUAAGUAAUAUCGACGCUUCGAAUGACGCAGUUGAAGAGAAUGGCACAAACUCUGGUCCGGUUGUCUUCCCAGUGUGCCAGUUCACUGGGCUCUGACCCUGUGGUACCUCAUCUGAAAUAUGGAAUUCAUCUAGUGGUCACAUGGCUGGAAGAUCACAGGAAGGGAUAUCAACAAUUCAAUUUGGUUCGGGUUUUCAAGAAAUCCGAAUCGAACCAAAUCAAUGGGGGUGAACGACUGAACCAAAUCAAAUCAUGAUCUGAACUGAAUACGACCCAAAUAAAAACUUGAUUCGGUUCAACUCGGUUUUCUCUUUUUUCUUUUUCUUUUUUUGUGAGAAAAAUGCUAUUAUUUUUUCUAAUUUGCUUUUCUUGUGUUUAUUUUGUCUUUAUUUGGGUGGGGGCAAGGGACUAGACUAGUCUGGUAUAUUAAAAAUAGAAUAAAAGGAAAGCUGAAGUAGUUUACAUAAUUAUGACCAAAAUAAAAGGGAAAAAAUUUGGGUGGUUAUUCAAUGAGUGUGUAAUAUGUAUUGUAAAAGCAAUUCAGGAGAGUUAAAAUAAGAGGGAAGACACUUUAUCAUUAUUCAUAUAGAUAAUUCGAUUCGCUUGCAUUGGUGGCCUGUCAAUUGUUUUUUAUUUUUUAACAUGAAGUAGUCGAGUUGGUGUUUGAUUGAGCAAAGAAGUUGCAUCUCCUUCAGCUGCUCCUUUGUAAAGCCACCUCUCUAUUUCGCUCUGAAGUAAAUCCAAGCUUCAUAAUUGCAUUUUGCUUUCAACAUUAGGCUUUAAGACUGCCACGAAAAUCAACUCUUUCCGAAUCCGACAUCAACAUACUUAACAGAACAAUUGUUUUGUUGACCAUUUGGAAAUUCUUUAAAUUUCUUGACUAUGUCAUUAGCCCACGAAACCAAUGACAUUAUUACUUCAUUAGGUGCACAAAUUAAUGUAGCCUUGAAUGGUGUAUAUCAUGUACCGGUAAAAGCUUAUGCAUUUUAGUUCACGGGCAAGCCAUUAUUAGUGAAUAUAUAUAUAUAAUGGUUACGUAUGUGUUAUAUUCGUACACCGUAUAUGGUUUAAUAUAGAUGUAUAAGUUUCUACAUUCAAUAUAAUGUCUUUUAGCCUAUUGUCAUGCUCUAUCAUUAGUAAUGAUACCAAGUAUAUUUAAAAGUUAUGUCUAUACUGAUUUAGACAGGUGCGGCUUGAUUUUUGGAUCCGACAUCGGUUGCGUGCACUUACAAGCAUGAGAACUAAUUUUAAAAAGGUUUCGGAGGGGAUGAAUUGGCGUUAUUUCUUCUACUGGCAAGAUCCUCGGCGUUCUCCCCCAAGUUGCAGUAAUUGAAUUCACAAAUCGAAGAUUGAAGUCACAUCUCCUUCGAUUUCUGCUUUGUACAGCCACCUCUUCAUUUUCGCUUCUCAAGCUUCGAAGGAAUCGGGCUUUGUAGUUGCGUUUUGCUGGUCGCGUUCGGCUUUAAGAUGGCUGCGAAAGCCAAUUCCUUCUUCUGAAUCGAACAUUCACACCCUUAACAAGAAGUAUCAUCGGUUGACAUGGGAAAUUUUUCGAAAUUGUUGACCAAGUCAUAAGCCCAAAAUAAAUAAUAACAACAAUAAUAAUAAUGUGACAUGAUUAGUUCAUAUAUUGAGAAAAAUGAAUGUGGUUUUGAGUGGAUAUAUCCUGAAUAGAUAAAAUUUUAUGCAUUUUAGUCUACGAACAUGCGGUUACUAGUAAAAAUAAUUUUCCUCUAAAAAAGUAACUAUAUAUUUAAAAGCUAUGUACGUGCUGAUUUUUUCAACCAUCCUAUGGCGAGAAAUUAUUAUACAUGAGAGCAGUAUUUAUACUAAAUAGAAUUUUGGUAUGGAAAUAAUGAUGGGUUUCACAUAAAUCCCACUCUACUAGAUCCGACAGCUCAAUAGAACUUAGUGAACAUAUUGGAGUCAAUGCUGGUUUUGUUUGUCGUCCUUGGAAUUCAAUUAUUAUCCAUCAUGUGAUGUUCGUAUUGUGAAAUUUGUGGUUCAUCUUUAUCACUUUGUAUAUAGUGGACUUGCGGGUCCACUCUUAAGUUUUUCAUAACACAAUGAAUAUAUGGGUCCAUUCCUCUUUUAUUGGUGUACCUCCUCCACCUUUAAAUAUAUUUAAAAGCUAUGUAUGUGUUGAUUUUUUUAGCAUCCUCUAAUUCAUGGAUUACUGUUUCUUAAUGAGAAAUUGUUAUGCACGAAAAUAGUAUAUAAACUGAAUCGAAUUUUGAUCCGUAAUAAUGAUGAGUUCGGGGUGAAUCUUGCUCCACCAAAUUCUACAACCCCAUUGACCUUUAGUGAACGGGUUAGCUACUUGAAAUACUUGUUCAUCACUGGUCUUUUAUUUAUCAUCUUUGGAAUUCAAUUAUUCAUCCAUGAUGUGAUGUUUGUACUCAUUUGUGAAAUUUAUGGUUUAUCUUUAUCAUUUCGUACACAGUCGACUGACAAGUCCACUCCAACUUUUCCAAAUAUAUGUGCCCCUUUCCAUUAUUUGUGUACCUCAUCCACUUUUCUGCAGGCCAUCGACAGUGUUAGACAGAUAACUCAUAAAAUCAAAACACUCGAGGAUUUAACUCGGCUAAUGUGAAAAUACUAAUUGCUUCAAUCGAUCAAAUUAGUGCUUCAAAAGCUCUAUUGUUUAAUGACGAUAUGACGAUGCUAUUAAGAACUGACUCAACAUUUACUCCCCUCUUCAUGCAUAGACAUGUCGAAUCACAUGUCUGUGUCGUUGUACUUGCACAUCAUUUAUCGGGGAGAGAGCAGACCACAAAACACACAAAGGACCAGAGGUGGACCCCCUGGAAGUAAUGAACCAAAGCGGGGGUUCCCCAGUCACGCAUGUCAUCUGCUUUGCAUGCUUCUCCUUGACUUGUUCACUCUAUCACCCAUGGCCACUUAAAUGUUUUAUAAACUAGAUUUUUAUGUUUCAUGUAGGAUUUUUUUUUAUGUCAAUGCCCGAAUUAGGAAUGUUGCACAAAUCAAUAGUAAUUUCAAUUAUCUUCUCGAUACCUAUAAAAUGUCUUAAAAAUAUAAGUUUCUCUUUUCAUUUUCAUUUCGAUAUUUGUUUCUUUUUCAUAUUUUAAUUUAAGUUAAGAAAUUAAGUCAUUGAUAAGGUAGGGAGUAGUUAGAAGUAAUUUAUUUGACUAUCUAGUUAUACUGAUGGAUAGUGACAAGUGACUAAGUGACCCUUUUUAUCAACCACACGCAAUUUCACAAUAUUCAGGAUGAUGAUAGUAUUUGAAGCUAUUGGAUUUAAAUCAAUCUAUGAAAAAUCUAACAAACUGGUGAUUGCAAAACAAACCGAAACUUUUUGUCUAGUUUUAGCUCAACACAAAGUGAUCAAACUUCCAAGAAGCAAAUUUUUCAAGAUGGUUCGAGUGUGAAUGCAUGUUUAAAAGGCGUGCCAGCUUUUGAGAGAAAAAUAUGAUGUAAAAAAAGUUACUUCAACCAAAAUAUCGGGGAAACCAACGUACAUGAAAAGUAAAGUCCGACAAUUGAAAUUGAGGGAAAUCGAAAGGAAAGUUUUGGAAUCAAAAGGAAAUCAAAGGAAAAUUAAAGCGAUGACCAUUGAAAUGAAAAUUAAAAUGCAAACACAGGGAAAGAAAUCACUAAGAAACUUUAGUGAAAUUGAAAUAUUCUCAAAAUUACAGACACAAUGAUCCUAAAUUGCAAAAAUUAAAUUGAAAGCUACAUUGUUAGUCAAAAUGCACAUGAAAAUAAACUAACUUUAAUUUAAAACUGAAACUUAAAGACGUUGGUUCAACAUAGAAAAUGCACCGGAGGAAAAUUUUGGCGGAGUUUUGGCAUAGUUUGAGCGAUCUCUCUUUCUUUGUGUUUCUUUUAUUUAUAACGCUGGGAUUACCUUCUGACGGUUAUUAGAAUUCAUGUGUGAUCCCCCUCUUUUCCUGCUCCAAAUUUCCAUGAUUUGCUCUACUUCCACGAUAUAAGUAACUCCUAAGGCAAUCGUGUGUCCAACAAUAAACUGCCCCUUUCAUUCAUGAUUUAACCUAAAUCUAUAACCAUUCCAACUCUUAACUCAAAUAAGUCGAGGUACCCUUUCCUUAGUCUAAUAUAAAUGGUAACCAAUACACCUCAGAUCGAAGUGAGGUCACAAUCUCUAGACGAAAUUAAAUCGGAGAAGCUCCACAUGGAAGUUGGGCUUAGUAUAACUUGACUCCUCAUACUUAGCUCUGCUCUCCUAACUCAUAUAGAUAAUGAAAUCACACUUCAAUAUCUCGGCCAUAAAGUUUCGCCACCAACAGAAGCUAAAGAAUAAUGUCAUAAAAAUUUCUAAAAGUGGCAGUACUGAAAAAUAAAGAGCACCAAUGAGAGUAGUGGUAGUAUGUUGAGAACUAUCAUUUUCCACCGACGAAAUUGUUUUAUAAUUUUGAUGCCGAACAUCACACGAUUGAUAAAGCUACUUUUGAUCUUUAAAGUGAGCCAACCAACAAAGACCAAGUUAGUCUUGGCCGUCUUCAGUUGUGGUGAGGGUUCGCACAUUAUUAUUCUGUAUUGAAAACUUCCACUCAAUUCUAACCCCACACACCCUCCUUUUUCUUUAGAGAAACUUUUUUUUGGUCUCACUCAAUCUCAAUCUAUUAUGUAUAGUAAUUGCACAGUGGAUGCACAGUGUUGCUACACGCAUAAAAGAUAAGAAAAAACUAGAAAUUUACACCUCCUAAUAUGGACAUAAUUACAGAUUUCAUCCCCUGUAUUUUUUAGUUUACUCUUUACAUCCUGAGACUAACAUCUUUACAUUUAAAUUUUCUACGUGUAUUGGAAUGCGCGGUGAUUUUGUUGGGAUUAUAGGGGCGGUUGGUUCAGUCUUUGCUCUCCACCUGAAGACAUUAUAUAAUUUCUAUGAAUUGUGUGGUGAUUUUCUUUAUUUCAAUUAUUUCUUGCAUUUGGGUUGAAAAAAGCUUUGGAAUGCCAAGUGAGUCUCUAUAACUCCUAAUGUGUAGUACCCUGCAGAAAAGGAAAAGACUAAUGAGAGCAUCUACUGGAAACCGGAGUUUUGUUCGUUGGAUGAAAAGAGGUGUUGGUUCCCUCGUAAUUCAUUCUACGUCUCGCAAAGUCAAUGGCCAAAUUUGUUGGAGAAAUCUUCGUGAAGUGUUUUAAAGUUGACAAAACGUUUCCAUCAGUCUAGUUUGAAGAUUUGCAGACUCUGAUAUUUAAAGUCUGAAGACCUCCGGACUACCAGACUCAAGACUCAAAGUCUAUCCUCAUUGACAGUUUCUAAUCCGUUGAAGAAGGUCUAUCCAGAACUUGAUGUUUCAUUAAGGAUGUGACCUUAUCGACUGGAAAAGAUCUCUUGGCUAGAUAUGACAUAAUGGAAUCCUUUAAUUGAUCAUGAUUGAUUCGGAGAUUAAGGAUUCGAUGAUUGGCAAAGUACUAUUGGAAGGUUCUACUUAUGGAAACCGAGAUCCUGAUUGUAUGGGCGAACAGAAUUGAUGGGCUAUCGAUAUGUUCCUUUAAUAGCUCAAAUGAUCUUCCUAAUUGAUUCCGUCCAACGGGUAGAUUGGAGGAAUUCAUUUGGUAAGUGCCAACGGGUAUGAUGGCAUAAAGGAGUAUAUAAGGAAGACAUUUCAAUUGUUCGAGUGUGUGCACGAUAGAAGAAUUCCAAAAUCUAAAGUUUCUUGUUCUUAGUCUAUUCAUUUGAGCAAAAUAUUGUACGCAAAAGAGAGUCUAUAUUCGUGAGAAACCUUGAGGAAGUGUGGUAGAAUAUCUACAAUGUGGAAUCAAUGGAGAAUUUUGAUGUAACAUCUCUUUUGUUCAUAGUGAAAUCCAGCCGGUAAGCUGUCAGUGCGGAAGAGUGGACGUAGGCUUGAAAUAAGCCGAACCACUAUAAACAUUGUGUUCAAUUUUCUCUUCCCUACUCUUUGCUUUACUUUGAUCGUAAUUCGUUUUGUUAAUCAAAAAAGAACUUCCUUUCUAUUGUCUGCUUAAUAUUGCUUGCAUAUCACGAAAAAUUAUUAUACACCUAUUCACCCCCCUCUAAGUGUUUAUAUUAGCUAUCUCAAUUGGUAUUAGAGCCUGUGUACUCACUUUGUUUGAAGUGUUUUAGUUCAGAGUUAAAGAUCCAUGGCUAGUAUGUUGGCUCCAGGGCUGGUAGAAGGGCAAAGCAAUACCAGACCGCCUUACUUUGAUGGAAAAGAUUACAACAUAUGGAAAAACAAGAUGAAGGCAUUCCUAAGAUCAAAGGAUCCUCUGGAAUGGGACGUUGUAGAAAAAAGAAUCAUUCCUAAAGCUGCACCUGUCUCAGAGAGAGGAAAAGCUACUGUUGAGUCUAGUGAAAUGACUCGAGAAGAGAUAACCAAGAGACAAGCUCUUGAUGCAAAAGCAAUUUAUUCUUUAUACUGUGCUUUGUCACCUACUGAAUAUAACAGAAUAUAUUCUUGUGUUACAACAAAAGAAGUCUGGGAUAGAUUACAUAUUACCUAUGAAGGAACCGAUCGAGUGAAAGAGACCAGAAUCAACAUUCUCCUCGGUCAAUAUAAAGCCUUCAAAAUGAAAUCAGAAGAAUCUAUAACUAACAUGUUUAGUCAUUUUACAGAAAUCGUGAAUGGUCUUGAAAAUCAAAGUCAACCAAUUUCUGAUCCCAUGAAGGUAAACAAGCUACUGCAUGGACUCUCCAAGGAUUGGAAUCACAUAAAGACCUCAAUCAGAGAGACCCAAAGAAUCAUGCCACUAUCUGUUGAUGAGUUGGUUAGGACUCUUCAGUCUUAUGAAGUGGAACGAAUCAAUGAAGACGAACACCCUAAAGAUAAGAAAUCCAUUGCAUUAAAAUCUAAUGAUGAUUCUGAUGUUACAGAUUCUGAAGACGAUAUGGAUGAUGAGGAGCUUGCUCUCAUGAUAAGAAGAUUUAGAAAGCUGAACAGAAAAGGAAGAAUAUUCAAUCCAAAGAAACAAAGUUUUCAAAAUCAACAGACUAAGUCUGUUGACGAUGAUGAAUCAAGCAAAGAUGUAGUCUGCUUUGAAUGUAAGAAAAAGGGACACAUCAGACCCAACUGUCCUCUUCUGAGGAAGAAGAAAGGAAAAGCUGAAAAGUAUCGAAAGGCUCUUAAAGUAGAAACCUGGAGUGAUACAGAGUGUGAAGAAAGUGAUGAUGAUUAUGCCAAUAUAUGGCUGAUGGCGCAAUCGGAUUCAGAUUCAAACUCCGAGACAGACUCAGAUUCAGACAGUGAAUUUGAGGUGAGUAACUUCAAAAUCCCUAUUAAAGUUUCUAAAUACAUUGAUGAAUUGUGUUUUAGUCUUAAAACUUCUCUUAAAAAGAUUUCCGAACUCAAAAAAGAAAAUUCUGCUCUAAAACAACAAGAAAAUGUUUUGAAAGAAAAGGUGAAAUGUUUAGACAUGAAUGUUUCUUCUCUUAGAGAAAGUGAAGAUAAUCUUUCGAAAGAAAAUGCAUUAUUGAAAAAUGAUAUCUCAAAUAUUUCUAAAAGAUUUUCUAUAGGAUCUGAGAAAUUGGAAAAAAUUAUUUCUGUUCAAAGACCUUAUUUCAAUAAAUCUGGUUUGGGAAUGACUGCAGAAACAAUUCCUUUAAUGGAUUUUCCAAAAGUGAAAGAAAGAAUUAAGCAAAGACCCACAAGAGAUGCUUACAAAAAUCAUUUUAAAAUGAUCUUUGUAAAACCAGUAGGUUGCAAUGCUCUUAGAUGUUCAAAGUGCAAUAAUGCAUAUCAUUUUGAAAAAGAAUGUCAUAUGGUUUGGAAACCUGUUAAGAAAGUAUGGGCAAAAACCGCAUAUCAUACUAACACCAAUGGACCCAAGAAAAUAUGGGUACCAAAGAAAGUUUGAGUUUCUUUUUUAAAUGCAUGUCACUUUCAAGAAAAAGGCAAAAUGGUAUCUGGAUAGUGGAUGCUCAAGACAUAUAACAGAAGAUUUAAAUUGCUUCAUAAAGCUUGUUCAAAUGAAUGGUGGAAAAGUCUCAUUUGGAGGAAAUAGCAAAGGAAGAAUAAUGGGAUUUGGAACUAUAAAGAUUGGAAACCUCACAAUAAGCAAUGUUUCUUUAGGUGAAGGACUCAACUACAAUCUGCUCAGUGUCAAUCAGUUGUGUGAUACCGGUUUCAAAAUCUACUUUCAAGAGGAUAUAUGUUCAGGAACUAGUAAAGAUUCUACUCAGUCAUUCAUGGGUCGAAGACAUGGAAAUAUCUACCUCUUGGAUGUGAAACCAGAUUAAUCGCAAUGUCUAAUCUCAAUCCAAGACGAAGCGAACCUAUGGCACAGAAAGCUUGGGCACAUCAAUAUGAAGCAGAUAGCCAAAAUUUCAGCAAAGAAGCUUGUUCGUGGUUUAAGCAAUCUUUCAUACCAAAAGUCUAAUCUAUGCACACUAUGCAUAUUGCGAAAACAAGUAAGAAAUUCCUUUAAACCAAUAAAUCAAGUUUCCACUAACCGUGUACUGCAGCUUUUGCAUAUGGAUCUCUUUGGACCAACCAGAACACAGAGCAUUAGAGGUAAGAAAUAUUGCCUAGUAAUUGUGGAUGACUACUCACGAUUUACUUGGGUAUAUUUCCUGGCAAGUAAAUCUGAAACUUUCUCUUACUUUGAAAAUUUUGCUAAAAAUGUUCAAAAUGAAAAAGGGUAUGUUAUUUCAAGUAUAAGAACAGACCAUGGAGGUGAAUUUGAAAAUCAAGAUUUUACAAAAUUUUGUGAUGAAUUUGGUUUUCAGCACUUGUUCUCAUCUCCAUAUACUCCAGAGCAAAACGGAGUUGUAGAAAGAAAGAAUAGAUCACUUCAAGAAAUGGCUAGAACUCUUUUAAUAGAAAGCAAUAUCUCAUCACGUUUUUGGGCUGAAGUAGUUUCUACAGCAUGUUAUAUUAUUAAUAGAGUUUUUCUAAGGCCUAUUCUAGAAAAAAAAAAAAAAACCCCUAUGAGUUAUUCAAAGAAAAGAAGCCUAUUGUUUUAAAUUUUCAUGUGUUUGGAUGCAAAUGCUUUAUAUUGAAAAAUGCAAAUGAUCGAGUUGGCAAGUUUGAAGAAAAUUCAUAUGAAUGCAUCUUCCUUGUAUAUUCAACCUCAAGCAAAGCGUAUAGAGUCUACAACAAGAAGACUCAAUCUGUGGAAGAAUCAAUGAAUGUUAAAUUCCAAGAUUCUAUGCAAAAUGAAUCUAUUCAGACUCAUCUUGAAGAGCCUGAACCUGCUCCAGACUCUACAAAGUCUAAAUCUCAGGAAGCAGCUCAAACUUUGAAAGACCAGCAGCAAAUAACUGUUGAAGAUUCAAGUGAAGGAAGUGAUCAACAACCUGACAAAUUAACCAGCAACUGGAAGCAUAAGUCCAGUCAUCCCAAAGAUCUUAUUAUUUGCGACAUUAAUGAAGGAAUUCGCACAAGAUCCAAAAGGCGAGAAGAGUCUAGUGCUGUUGCUCUUAUUUCUGAAAUAGAACCCAAAAGUAUAGAAAAAGCUUUGUUUGAUGAAAGCUAGAUUGAAGCUAUACAAGAAGAACUCAGGCAAUUCAGCAUUAAUGAUGUCUGGGAGUUAACUCCUAAACCGAAAAGUAAAUCUAUUAUUGGUGCUAAAUGGGUUUUUAGGAACAAGAUGGACGAGAAAGGAAAGGUCAUAAGAAACAAAGCAAGACUCGUGACCAAGGGAUAUACGCAAGAAGAAGGGAUAGACUAUGACGAGACUUACGCACCAGUAGCAAGGUUAGAAGCAAUUCGAUUAUUACUUGCAUUUGCUUGUUAUAAGAAUUUCAGGUUAUUCCAAAUGGACGUCAAAAGUGCUUUCCUAAAUGGAUUUAUCCAUGAGGAAGUCUAUGUGGAACAACCACCUGGGUUUGAAGAUCCAAGGAAACCAGCCUCAGUAUUCAGACUCAAAAAGGCCUUAUAUGGUCUAAAGCAAGCACCUCAAGCUUGGUACGACAGGCUGAGUAAGUUUUUGAUUCAAAAAGGCUUUGUAAAAGGUAAGGUAGAUACUACUCUGUUUAUCAAAAGAGAAAGCAAAAGUUUUGUGCUUGUUCAAAUAUAUGUCGAUGAUAUUAUUUUUGGAUCUCCUAAUGAAAGUCUGUGCAAGAAAUUCUCUAAGACUAUGCAGGAUGAAUUUGAAAUGAGCAUGAUGGGUGAGUUAACCUUCUUUCUCGGGCUUCAAGUAAAACAACUGAAGGAAGGAACUUUUAUUCAUAAAAAAAAAAAAAAUAUGCUAAUGAUCUUGUCAAAAAGUUUGGACUGGAUAAUUGCAAAAAGGCUAAUAUACCAAUGUCAAGUUCCUUGAAUAUAGACAAAGAUGAAGGAGGAAAGAAAGUCGAUCAGAAGUUAUAUAGGAGUAUCAUUGGCUCACUUUUUUUAUCUUACUGCUUCUAGACCUAACAUUUUGUUUAGUGUUUGCAUUUGUGCCAGAUUUCAAGCAGACCCUAAAGAAUCUCAUUUAAGUGUUGCAAAGCGUAUUAUUAAAUACAUUGCUUCAACUUCAGUUUUGGUCUUUGGUAUCCUAAAAAGGGAGACUUUACUCUUCUUGGAUACUCAGACACAGACCUAGCCGGAUGUAUAGUUGAUAGAAAGAGCACCUCGGGUACCUGUCAACUACUUGGAGGCAGGACAGUGUCUUGAUUUUCAAAGAAGCAAAGUACGGUAGCUCUCUCUACAACAGAAGCAGAAUAUGUAGCUCUUGGAAGUUGUUGUUCACAAAUUCUGUGGAUAAAACAACAACUAAGAGACUUUGGAAUUGAAAAUUCAUGCACAGAGAUUAAAUGUGACAACACCAGCGCAAUCAAUUUCACCAAAAAUCCAAUUCUUCACUCAAGAGCAAAACAUAUAGAGAUUCGACAUCACUUCAUUAGAGAUCAUGUUCAAAAUGAAGAAGUUUCGAUUCAGUUUAUUGACUCAAAGAACCAAUUGGCGGAUAUAUUCACAAAGCCUUUGGAGAAAAAUCAAUUUGAAGCUAUUCGCUCCAGACUCAAAAUCUUAAAGUCUGAGGAAAUUCAGACUCAAAACUGAAAGUCUAAAGACACUCAGACUCAGACGAUCAACUUUUUAGUAAGUUAUUUUAUUUUUCAAAUCUCAUCUUGAAAAGGUACAAUCAUCAACCGUGUUUGAAUAUUGCUAUCUCAAUCGCUAUCUUUAAUUGACGUGAUUAUUGCAACGUUUCCUUUUCGAAAAAGGAGUUAUGACUAUUUUCUCGAAAAAGGCAGUUAUUUUUUAAAAAUGCAUCUUUUUACUUUCUUUUAUGACAUUUCGUAUGCCUCUCUUUAACUGUUUAUGCAUUGUUGUUUCUUCUUCACUUUACUCUCCAAAAACUCUAAAAAAGCACCGAUCUUCCAUUCCUGUUUUCUUCUCUUGUUUAAUCUUUGAAAAAGUUGUCAUCUUUCUUGGGAAAGUCAAGUUUGGAAUCUUUCAAAAACUGUGAAAGAUGUCGUCUCAAAGGAAGUCUUCGAGGAUUGCAAGCAGGGGACCGCAAAUGCGUGAGGGGCCUACGCACUUCGAUCUCACCGAGGAAAAAGAGUCUCCUAGUCAGCAGCAGAGCCCACAACAUUCUGAACAGCGUCAUUCUCCUCCAUCUAGUCCUCAGGAUGUUGGUCAUCAAGAAAAUGGAGAAAUCAUCGAAGGCGCAGAUCCUGUAAGAAUUCAAAAGCCCUCUUUUAUUUACAAGCUUUAUCGUGCAUUGAAAAGAGGUGGAACUCCAUUAAACUACAUCGAUGAGUUUCUUAAGGACAAAGGGUAUGGAAAUGAGUACAUCUUUUUUGCGAAGUAUGGAGUGUUUGGGAAUUACCCCUGCGAGGUUGGCAGAAGAAACCCUUGCCAAUAUCCCAAUUGAUCCGCGUGUUGGAAGGCUGAAUCAGCCAGAUGGGAAUGAUGAUGAUAAGUUGUACAGUCAGUUUCAACCGAGAAUGGGUGUUGCGGCAAAAAUUCGGGGAAAAAGGACUGACUUGUUUCGUUCGGAGGAACAAAAGCAUCUCUACUCUAAGUUGUUGAAGCAUGGGGUGAUAAACCCUAGAAGUGUAGAUUUUGAUUUCCUCGAUGCUGUGAAUGUUAAUUUGAGGGAAAAAUUCAAUCUUCUUCAACUUGAACAGUUAUGUUCUGACUCUACAGAAGCCUAUGCUGAACUCACUGCUUAUUUCUAUUCGAACCUUAGUUUCUUGGAUGCGAAUAGAUUCUCUUUUAGUGUUCGAGAUCAGGACUAUGUAGUGGAUGUAGAUAUGUUGGCUGAUGUCAUUGGGGUUGAGAGAGGGAGAUAUCAACCGAUCAAUGUCUCAAUUGCUCGUGCUACAUUGGAACUUGUUAAGGAUAGAAGGACAGAGAAAAAGAUUUCCUAACUAAGGAUGAGUGCAUUUAACAUUCUGCUUCACAAGAUUGUCAUUAAUUGCCUCAAACCCAAAUCUACUUCAAAGACUGAUGUUUCAAACUCAUAGGCAAAGUUGAUGUAUGCCAUCAUUACUGGAAAAAAGUUUUCUCUUCCUCACACUAUUAUGUUCCAUAUGUAUAGAGCAGUAGUGAAGGAUAAAGGACAACUUCCUUAUCCAGGUCUUGUGACAAAGUUAUUCAGACAUUUGAAUGUUCAGCCUCCACGAAUUCUCUGUACUCGAUCUUGUGAUCAUAUGGUGGUAGGAUAUUAAGCAAGACUUAAUCUUUAUAUUUUAAUAGAAAAAAAUAGGGAGAGAAUUACCCAAAGAGUCCUAAAUUUAUUGCGAUUGUGUCAAUUUAGUCUAUUCAGCCAAUUUUGGCCAGCCUACACUAAAGUGGACAAUUUAUAAUAGUAUUUUUUUGAUUUUUUAUUUAUUUUCUUUUUCCUUUUUGUCCUUUCUUUUUUCUCCUCUUUCUUCUUUUGCUUCUUUUCCCAUGGUUGCCGGUUAGGCACUAGGCGAGGACUGCAGGUGAGGCGGCUUUGCCUAGAUCCAAGCGAGGGCCGAGGUCCUCAUCAAAAGUCGCCAAGGGCUUCAUGGCCAUUGCCUAGUGGUUGGCGAGCCUCACUAGAGCCUCACUGGCCACUGUGGAGGAAAAAAGCAAAAGAAGGAAGAAAAAGAAAAAGAAAAAGAAAAAAAUUAAUAGAAAUUCAAAAAAAUAAAAUAUCAUUAAAAAUUGUCAAUGUCAAUGCCGACUAGUUAAAAUUAGCUGGAUGAACUGAACUAGUACAAUUACAAAAAAUUAGGAAUUGAAUUGGCAAAAAAAAAAGUUUAGAAUUCAAUUGGUAUAACUGUAAUAGAUUUAUGAUUUUUUUGAUAAUUUUCCCAAACAAUAGGCUCUCUUGUCUCUCUAUCCCCUCAUCGCUGAAAAUAAAAAAUAAAAGAAUGCCAAGAGUUCGGAAUAUUUUACAAAGUAUGUUGCAAACCAUUAGCAAAUUAAUUAGAGUAUUUUAAAGCAAAAAUCAUUUUAGUUUUCUUCAAUCCAAGUGCGUGGGACACAACGUCUUCAUUGUGGAAGCGAAAAAACAUGCCACAUGAUUCACGUUCAUCUUCUACUUUUUUUCUGGAGGGCUAACAAUAUUCCCAAGUGCUGUUAUGGAUGGCUUGCGCAAAUGAAGCAUUGGGCUUGUUCCACGAUGUACCGCACUCGAGAAAAAUGAAAGUGAUUUUUGCUUCAACAAUGAGAGAGAUACGACACUCCAACGUCGCACCACGAUUAAAGAAAUUAAAAAGCAAUCACUUUUGCUUUAAUAAAAGUGAGAUUUGCUUCCACUUUUCUAGAUUGAAAAGACGCCAACACCCAUUUCAUUAGUCGUAGGAUAAAUUAGUCCGAUGAUUUUGCCAUUCAAAAAGAGAUUUUUGUUGUGAAAAGCGGUUUUCCUUCUCAAAAAGGAGAGGGGAAAAAAAAAGUUGGAACAUGAGAGCUGGGUCAUCGAAAGUUGUUUCAUUUGAGACAACGAUUUGAUUGUGUUCAUCUUGAUAGAGCAAUAAUUAUUAAAGUGAUACUUACCCCAAAAAAUUAUUGAAUGGAUAUAACUCUACUUCCAGGCAUUAAAAAUUAUCGAAUAGAAUCUUUUUUUUUCCUUGCUCAGUUUUAAUGUGUUUAAAGGGACCUACAGCAAAAGAUCUUGAAGAGUCACCCAUCUCGAUAAUGUUCCCAGUGUUUCUCGUGAGAAAAAUGACGACUAAAUUAUCUAACAAACAAUUGGAGAAGUCACAAUUGGCUACUUUAAUUAGUGCUCUCCACCUAUGAAGCUUUGACAUUUCUGUUCUUAAGGAAAGGCGGACAAGAAGUCCAAAAUCUUGUAUAUCGAAUACAAUCAAGUGCUAAAUUCAAUUACUUCCCAAACCUUCUUCAAAAGUGCAAUUGAAUUUUUUUUUAUGAACAAUAUCUAAAAUUGUUUCAUGUCACUCAAAAAGUGUUUAUUAAUUGCACUUUUCAACGUAAUUUUAGGAUGUAAUUGCAUUUUUCUAUAAAGGUAGAGGAAUUAAUUUAAUCAGUUGAAAAGUAAAGUACUUAAAUUGCAUUGUUUGCUAAAAGUUUAGGACUUGAUCGAAACAAUUUAAAAAUUUAGGAUUGAAUUAAAUCCAUAUAAGAUUUCGGACAUUUAAGACUUGUAAUGCAAUUUUUUUUCCCUAAGGGAAACAUCUCAGAGAUAUUAAGAAGUAACAGAUGGAAUAAAGUCAUGCGUACGGUACACGAGAAUUUUCCCUUUUUCCACUUCAACAAGAAUAUAAAGGGACUCCGCCCAUACCUGCUUUCUCCAUUAAUUUUUGGUCCAUGCACUUACGAAAGUUGAAAAUCAUGUCGAUCUCAGUGUUUCAAAUUCUUCUGCUUCUGGUUUCCCUCAAGUUGCAAGCAUCAGGUGCUGCAACUGGAUUUGCGAAGCCUAACUGUCCUGAAACAUGCGGGAACGUCACCAUUCCCUUCCCCUUCGGAAUAGGAGCCCGGUGUUUCUUGGAUGAAUGGUACCAGAUCGUCUGCAAACAAAACAACACGGUUCCCAUUCUGAAGAAGAUUGGAUUGCGAGUUCUCAGCAUUUCAUUCCCUGAUGGAUACGUGGAUGGUAUGAUUAACGUUAGUCUUCCUGUAAUUUACUCAAAUGCAAGCUGCGGGGGUGACGGACGUGGUGCAGGUGUAAGCUUGAAAGGAAGUCAAUUUGUCUUCUCCCGGACAAGGAAUGUCUUUACAUUGGUCGGUUGCAACACCCUGGCCACAGUAAAUACCGCAAAAUCAGCUUUUGUCGGUUGCAGGUCGAGAUGUGCUGCAACCAACACCAGCAUUAGCCGGAAUAGUGCUUGUUCCGGGAGGGAUGGCUGCUGCCAGAGGAUGCUCCCCCUUAACCUUCAGGGCUUUAGUGUGGAUUUUAUAGAAGGUGGACAUGAGGGGUGCAAGUACGCUUUCUUGAGGUCUGACUUUACAGGUUUAUAUGAUUUGAAAGUGAAUGAGACGGUUCCAGUGGUGCUGGAAUGGGGGAUUGCGAACAAUACUGACGAUGGACGCAAGCUUAUCGAGCAGUCGCAGACUGAUUAUCCGUCCUAUUGUCGCACAUACAGCGUCGUUGACAACAAUGAAAUGCUAUUUACACAGUGCUAUUGCACACGGGAGUAUGGUGGUAACCCAUAUCUUAUGGAAGGAUGCAAAGGUAACCCAUUCCAUGCUAUCACGUUCCGUAUUUUUUAUUUUGAUAUAUACUAGGGAAUGUGCUUUUUCACAUUCCAUAUUUAGGGGCAUCAUACGGUGAAGCGGUUCGUUCAUUUCCAGAUUUUUCUGAGAAGAACGCAUUCACACUAUAUAAUGAUUGUAUACAUGUUUUUCUACCUUCUUUUUGUUAGUUUUUCCGCCCAAGAUUACACAAAGUGAACGCACUUUCAAACAAAAUUGAUCAAAUUACAUUGAUAAUAAUUUACUGGAAUUACAGGGGAACAGGACACUCCUUUAGUAACAAGCACAAUAUUUUAGCCAUGGAAUUAACAAUUUAUGAGGAAAUGUGACCUACUAGUUUCCGUAAUUUUACUCAAGGAGAUUGGUUUCACUGUUAAUGUAUUUGCUUCUGGUUUCACAACCAUCAGGAGCUGCACCUCGACCUCAAAGCCGUGACUGUGCUGAAACAUGCGGGAGUGUCACCAUUCCCUUCCCCUUCGGAGUACGAGCCGAGUGUUUCUUGGAUGACUGGUACCAGAUCGUCUGCGAACAAAACACCAUGGUUCCCAUUCUGAAGAAGAUUGGAUUGCAAGUUGUCAAAAUUUCACUCCCUGACGAAGACGUGGAUGGCAUGAUUAACGUUAGUCUUCCUGUAAUUCACUCAAAUGCAAGCUGCGGGGGUGACGGACGUGGUGCACUGGUAAGCUUAAAAGGAAGUCCAUUUGUCUUCUCCCAGAAAAGGAACAUCUUUAAAGUAGUCGGUUGCAACACUCUAGUGACAGCGAAUACUACAGAAUCAGCUGUUUUCGGAUGCCAGUCGAAAUGUGCUGGAACCAACUUCACCAUUAGCAAGUAUAGUGCUUGUUCCGGGAGACGGAUGCUGCCAGAGUUCGCUCCCCUUGAACCUGCAGGGCUUUGGUGUGGAUUUCGAAGAAGAAAGCGGAGAUGAGGGGUGCAAGUACGCUUCUUGGGGUCUGAUUCAGGUGUUUAUGAUUUGAGAUUGAGUGAUCCGGUUCCAGGGGUGUUGGAGUGGGGGAUUGCAAACAAUACCACGUAUGCACUUGACCUUGUCGAGCAAGGAUACUAUCGCUCAAAUGAAUCUUUCACCUGUACAGGGUUUGAAAGUUUGAGCAGUGAAGGAGAAGGAAUUAUAUAUGGAUAUAGAAGCUACAGCGUCGACAGUGGUGAAAUACUAUCUGCGCAGUGCCGUUGCCGUAGGGGGUAUCAUGGUAAUGCCUAUCUUAUUGGAGGAUGCAAAGGUAACAUAUUUCAUGCCAUCACUUUGGGAAUUUAAGUGCACCAUACAGCGAAGUGGCUUGUUCAUUCCCAGAUAUUCCUUUGAGAAGAAUUCAUACACGCUGUUUAAUGAUCACAUAUAUAUUGGCCCAAGAAUGUACAAAGUGAUGCACUUUUAAACAAAAUUGAACUUAUUAUAUUGCUAAAAAUUUACUGGAAAUAAAGGGGAACAAGACAGUCCUUUUGUUACAAGCACGAUAUUUUAGCCCUGGAAUUAGCAAUUUUAUGAGGAAAUGCGACCUACUAGCCUCCUUAAUUUUACUCAGGAAGAUGGUUUUUGCUGCUAAUAUAUUUAUGAUAUCAUUUGUCAUCAGCCGAAUGUAAUCCAAAGCGGUGCCACGGGACUUGUGUGUACAAACUGGGCUCCUUUCGCUGCGUCGGUAUUGGAAAGACCAAGUUCAUUCUUAUUGGUAAGCAGAUCUUUUAACCUAGAAUUUUAGACCGCUUCAUGCUGGAGAAUUGCUAGAAAAAGAACAGCAUAGCAUAAAUUAUGUUCAGAAAAGGUACAUAAAUAAGAUUUACAUUACCCUUCGUUCUAACAUGAUUGCUUGGUAAUAAUUAUAGAUAAGUUUCUAUCAGUAGUAUCUAUCAGGAUAACCUCAAAACUUUCUUCGUGCACGAAUACUUAUAUUUGAUAGCUAAGACAGCACUUAGAACUUUUCUAAUGUUGCCGCUUCAGAUCUAUCAAAAGAUGACCAAGGUUCCUACUUACUCUUGUCGUAUUUGAAUUGGAAUUAUUACAAUCAUAAUCAAGAUGAAUGUUGGUAGGAAUAUUUUUACUUUCAUCAAUGGUUUUCUCAUUUCCUAGUAAGGGAGAUUAGUUGUACAAUCCAAAUGUAUGUAUAAAAAUAUCACCUGAUGGAACUUAGCAGGAGACAAAUUAAUUAUUCAAGAUUGUUAAGAAAAAUCCACAUGAAAGGAGCUCAGGUUAAUCACUCUUAUAUGAUUUCCUCUUAAUGAGAUUCACUAAAAUAUUUUAUGAUAAGACCUUAUAGAUAAAAGAAGGGCGCAUUUUUUGGACUUUUGCCCCUUAAUUUUUUGUAAUGCAGGGGUUGGGGCAGGCCUUGGGGCACUACUUUUGUGUCUUGUCUUAUGGGGGCUGUACAAAUACAUCAAGAAGAGAAAAGAAAUCAAGCUUAAAGAGAAGAACUUCAAACGUAAUGGCGGUCUUUUGUUGGAAAGUGAGCUAUCUUCUGAAGGCCAUGUCGAGAAAAACAAAUUGUUCAACUCCAAGGAUCUAGAAAAGGCUACCAACAAUUUCAACGAGGAUAGGAUACUUGGGCGAGGUGGACAAGGUACCGUUUACAAAGGAAUGCUAACAGAUGGAAAAAUAGUUGCUAUUAAGAAAUCAAAAGCAAUAGACGAGGGCAAAGUCGAACAAUUUAUAAAUGAAGUCUUCAUUCUCUCACAGAUCAACCAUAGGAAUAUCGUUAAGUUAUUGGGGUGUUGCUUGGAGACAGAAGUCCCACUUUUAGUAUAUGAAUUUAUACCAAAUGGGACUCUAUACCAAUAUUUGCAUGACCCAAAGGAAGAGUAUCAUGUAUCAUGGGACACACGCCUACGAAUUGCAACUGAAAUUGCAGGAGCCUUAUUCUACUUGCAUUCAGCAGCCUCAAUUCCCAUUUAUCAUCGAGACAUCAAGUCCACUAAUAUCCUCUUGGAUGAGAAAUAUCGGGCCAAAGUGGCAGAUUUCGGUACAUCCAAGUCUGUUUCCCUCGAUCAAACUCAUGUAACCACGUUGGUGCAAGGGACUUUUGGCUACCUAGAUCCCGAGUAUUUCCAAUCAAGUCAAUUUACAGACAAAAGUGAUGUGUAUAGCUUCGGAGUUGUUCUUGUUGAACUCUUAACGGGACAAAAGCCAAUCUCAUCGCUAAGGGAACAAGAAGGCAGAAGCCUUGCGACCUAUUUCAUAAUUUCGAUGGAAGAAAAUCAAUUGUUCGACAUUGUAGAUGCUCAAGUUUUGAAAGAAGGUAAGAAGGAAGAGAUUGCAUCAGUUGCUAACCUUGCAAAAAGAUGCUUGAACUUGAAUGGGAGGAACCGGCCUACAAUGAAAGAAGUGGCAAUGGAGUUAGAGGGGAUGAGAAAGCUCCUAGAUCCUUUGGGUAUUCAGCAAAAUCAAGAGGAUCGGGAGGCAACUGAAUCUUAUGAUGUUGCAUGUAAGUCCAGCAAGUCAAACAUCGACACAGAUGUCAUUACAUUUUCAGAUGCGCAGCCAUUCUUACCUAGUGAGUCGUGGUGAAGAUCUGUUUUGCCUCUACACUUAUGAGUUCUAUUGCUACAUUUGUCAUGGAAAUCAGUCUUCAAAGCAAAAGAAGGAGAAUAAAGAAAGGAGGCAAGCUUGUUAAUUUACUAAUAGGAGGAUUUUGGUUAGUUAUUUAUUGUUAAUGAACUUAUUCUCAGUGUUUGGGAUCAAUGAAUUGUUAAGUCAUGCCAAUCCCAAGUUUAUUCUAGUCCUGUAAUUAGCAUGAUGCCGUGAUUUC
rnacentral:lncRNA from 1 species